UUUGGGGUGUUAUAGGUUCGCACAUAAGCGGCGAGGCGGCGCGAGGCAAUGGCGUAGUUCCAUAGAUAGCGCCCUACCCCAGAGACCAGAGAUAGCGGUACCCCGAGUCGGCAUAGCCUAGAGGUAUAGGAAGGGGAAAAGAACACGAUGUACUAAAACUUGUAAAUAAAUGUUGCAAUAACUUGAUUGUAUUUGGAAGUCAAAUGUAAAGGAAAAUGUGAUGUAAAAUGCAGGUGCACAGAAUGCUUGUAAUAGCUAGUCGUUUAUGUUUUUGAUACUUUCUUAUGCAAUCUUCGAUUGAGAUGUGUUCCUAGUUGGAACCUUGUACAUUGUAUUGAUUGCGAUGCCUAGGACGUACAAGGGAGACUCUGUCUGUUCGGCGGUCUGUCGGUGUGCCCGAACCCGACCAAAUAGGCGGGGUACGGUGCGUGACAUAUAAAGAGUGGUUAAUAAGAAGGAAGUAAAGAAUGGCUAACAAUAAAGAACGGAAAAGAUAGAGUGUUAAAAUCGUUUAAUCCACUUCCAUAAUUGCAUGGAUUUCAUAUCGCAUAUCGUGAGGCAUGACAUAUAUUUCAAUAUCGAAUAAAUGUAUAAAUAUCUGUUGUAUGUUAUUGGACUAACCUGUUGCAGUGCCUCCUUGGACCUAUUGGUCGAGCUUUUCCCGUGGGUGGUCGUACCCACUGGGAACCAUGGAGUUGGUUCUCACCCCCGUAUUGUUUUUGGGGGUACAGGUUCACACGUGAGCGGCGCGGAGGCGCGAGGAAAGGGCGUAGCUCCGUAGAUAGCGCCCUACCACCGAGACCAGAGAUAGCAGUACCCUGAGUCGGCUACUUAGGGUGUAAAAGAAAUGAAAAGAACAAUGUUGUAAUAAAUUGUAAUAACUUGGAUUGUAUUUGGAAGUAAGAACCAAAGAAUCAAAAGAAAAUGUAAUAUGUAAAAUGUAUGUGAGAUGAAUGCUUGUAAUAGCAUAAUAAUACUUAUAUUUUCAUAUCUUUCUUAUGUAACCUUUGUUGAAUGUUGUUCCUGGUUGGAACCUCGUGCAUUGUUUGGAUUGUGACGCCUUGGACUUACAUGGGAGACUCUGUCUGCGGUAUAGGAAAAACCCUAUCCGUUCGGCGGUCUGUUAGCGUGCCCAAAUUCGGCCAAAGAGGCGGGCUCGGGGCGUGACGGAUAAGAUUGUAUUAGAGCAUAAAGUAGAGAAUGGGAAAAUGGGUUAGAUGGACCUAAGAGACCCUAGGAUAGUAAACCAUAGGAGAAUAAGGCUCAUGAGAGACAAGGACUUGUGACGUGUGGCCAAAGGAUUAUGGAUUGGGUUGUGUCGUGAACCUCUAAAACGGAUGUUAGAGGUAGACUCAAGGCAUGGUUUAUUCUUAACCGAGGGUGUUCAUGUUGGGUGCAUACAAUAUGAAGCCGAGUGAUGAGAAUAGACGCCCUUGCGUGACUUUCGCCCGAUUUUAGUCGAUGUUAAUUGCUUAGUGUUCGACCUAGAAGGUUGAAAAUUAAUCGAGUUGCCUUGUUUCAGGAAUCGAUGGCAUCGCGUAGGCGAUCUUCAUCCAGAUCGACGCGGGAUGGGACGGGUAAUGUCCCAGAGCAAUCCGAGGCGAGCGGAGACCCGGUGCUCCGCGAGCAGAUGAGUACGCUCAUGGGCGUAGUGCUGCGACAUGAGGAGCAGAUCAAGGAGCUCCAUGAGUUAUUGGCACGACAGGCUGCAGCGGCUGCGCCGGUAGCAGCGCGCCGUGUACCGACGGGAAUGGCGAUGGAUUCGGGGGCAAUAGCCCCUGGUUCUGUGGAAAUGGAGGCGGAGAAAGUGCGGGCUUUGGCGGCCCUUAUGGCCUUCAAACAUGUCACGCCCUGCGACAGCCCGCCUAUUUGGCCGGGUCGCGGACCCGUAAACAGACCGCCGAACGGACAGAGUUUUCCCUGUACGUCCUAGGCGUCGCAAUCAAAACAAUACGAAGGUUCCAACCAGAAACUGAUAUCAAUCAAGAUUACAUAAUGAAGUAUCAAAAACAUAACACAUCCUAUGUUAUUACAAGCAUGCAUUCUCAAGUUCCACAUAAUAUAUUUUGUUUACAUUGAACUUCCAAAAUACAAUCCGAUUAUCAUAAACAUUACAAGUUUGAUACAACUUGGUUCAUUGUCUUCUAGUCCCCUAAGCUAGACUGUCUCAGGGUACUGCUACCUCGGUCUCUGUGGUAGGGCACUAUCUACGGAGCUACGCCCUUGCCUCACUCCACCGCGCCGCUCACGUGCGAACCUGAAACACUCCAAAAUAACGUGGGGUGAGAACCAACUCCAUGGUUCCCAGUGGGUACGGCCACCCAAGGAAAAAGCUCGACCAAUAGGUCCGAGGAGGCACUGCAACAUGUUAGUUCAAUAAUAUACAACAGAUAUAUAUUCAAAAUUGAAAUACAUGCCAUGCCUCACGAUAUACGAUAUGAAAAUCAUGCAAUUAGUAGAUCAAUCGAUUCUACAUUUUACUUAGCUACUCUUAGCUCAUAACAUUCAACUCUAAGGUGUCUAUUACCUUAGGAUCAAACUCAAGUACACUAGCUUCUAAGGUCUCUAUUACCUUAGCUCUAGCCUCUAUCACUAGCUCAUAGGGUUUCUACCACCUCUAUCUAGCUAUCCACACGUCUCGCCUUCGAGUCAAUCAUCCGCGGAUAUUCCGCGCACUGGCUGCUCAACAGCCUACCGCUCUCUGUGACUUAGCCUCUUAGCGGCGAAAUCGUCGCACACGCUGAACCCGGCUCAAGUCCCUUGACAUAGCCAUUCUGGCGGCGAACACGUUGCACUUACCCAGCGAGGACUCAAGUCAUGACCUAUCCAUCUGGCGGCGAACUAAUCGCACCUCACCCAACAAUGGUUUCAGUCACGACUCAGCCACAUAGUGGCACCCGCAUCGUACUUACCCAGCAAUGGUUUUAGUCAAUCCUGGCGGUCUGAUCCACAAUCGGCUUAACCAUCCGGCGGCGAAAUCCUUGCACGCGCCACGUCAAUGGUCCAAGCCCCGGGCGGUGAUCUCCAUGUGAUCGCCCCCAAUCCUCCCUCGGUAUCAACCUCGGCGGCGAAGUCGUCGCACACGCCCUAGCCUUGAUACCAGGGUCAUCUCAAGUCCUGAGAUUCCGGAAUCCACUUUCCACAGGUCGAGGGUCCAUAACCAACCCUAUGCUGUCGACCUAGAACAUUCUAGUGGCUAAUACCACUAUACUCAACAACCUAGGUUUAACUUCACUUUAGGUUCAUCACAUACAUAACCUAGGUAAAACCGCUAGGUUCUAUCUCAUCUCUGCCUAGAUGUCAACCUCUAGGUUCACUUGUUCGACCUAAGUUUACUAACACUAGGUUCGAUGCCAUACCUAGAUUUGUUCGACUCUAGGUUCAAGUACAACCUAUGCAUUUAAACACUAGGUUAGGUGCCACUCGAUCUACUUGACAUCCUAGUUGUCCAAUCGAAUAUUCUAUUGUUCUCAUGUCAAUCAACUCUACACUUCUAGAGUUAUCAUCUAGUUUACAUGCAUAUAUAUAAAGUCGUGCUACUCAUGCACUCAUGCUAUCCUCUAGCAUUUAUACAUCAUGUUCAUCAUGCAUUCCACUUAGCAUUCUAAUAUAUGCAUUAUCAUUAACAUGCACCAUUUAGCAUUGUCUACAUGCAUCAACUUGAAAACGUAUGUCUCUUAGACAUAAAGGGCGACCUAGUCGCUUCGGUAAGCACAACCCACUUUAGCUUACUUUCCGAUUGCUCGUCGACACUUGCAAUCGGCCUCCCGCGGCACUCGGCACCCGUUUGGGCCCGAUCUUGUAGUUGCACUCCAAUAGCACGUCGCUUCGCCGUUACGGUGCUCGUGACCCAAUCUCGCGAUUUAUGGACAUCGCCUCGGUCCUCUUGGUCAAAACGAAGCUAGCUCGGCCUUACUUUGCCGAUAUCUUUACACCCGCUUGACAAAUGCUAAAUCCGUCGCUUCCCACGCGUUUAAACACCUAAUAAUUUGGUUUACAGAGAGUCAAAAGAGAUCAAACCCUCUCAUAUACCAAAACCCCAUUUUGGAUGCCCUAGAUACUAUUACUACCAAAUCCCCCAAAUCCCUUCGUGAUUUGGGUAUAAUCCAUCUCAAUAGCAUGCUAGGGUACCAAAAAUACCAUUUCUAUGGUUUGAAAUCCCUUCCUUAAAGAUUUACCAUGAGAGGAGGCAAAGAGCUUACCUCUCUAGGUUGCUCCAAGCACGAGAAAGACGAAGGAGAGGAUGAAGAUCUCCUUAGUCUUCUUCUCCUUCCUCUUCUCUUUCUUUCUUCUCCUUUCCUUUCUUUUCUCUUAUUUUCUUUUCUUUUCUUUCUUCUCUUCUCCUUCUUCACAUAUAGAGAGAGAGAGGUGAGGGAGAGUGAGGGAGUGAGAGAAAGAGAGAGAGAAAAGCCCUCUCUUAAUCCCCCCUCAUAUUAUAAUAAAAUGCUAGGAAGCCCCUCAACUUUCCACCCUUCACACUGCCCUCACUGGGCUGAACCCGCGUGGAGGGACUGGUCUCCCCGACCUGGGACCGGUCCCAGAGGACCUUCCCAUUUUCCACGCGUUCGGGAACCGGUCUCUCCCUGCGAGACUGGUCCCUGGAGACCGGUCUGCCCACCAGAGACCGGUCCCCGAGAGCUCGUCUCGAGGGACUUAGCCAAUUUUUGGCCAUUCUCGCUGGUGUCGCCUGCGGGGGACCGAUCCCUCUCUUCCAGGGACAAGUUGCAUCAGCAACCCCCGCAACCCUCUGUCGAUGGGACCGGUCUCCUACUACCAGAGACCGGUCCCCGAGAGCAAAACCUGCCAAAAGUGGAGAAUUGCAUCUUUUGCUCUCGCGGACUCCAUUCCAAUACACUUUUUGGGUUUUGUGCAUCCUUAGCUUCUCCAAAGCUUACCCACUCAAUAAUUAGUCGAUCCUGGACGAAGUACAACCCUCAGAUUUCGAGAAUUCACUUUGUUACAUUCUCCCCUCCUUAAAAAGAGUUUCGUCCUCGAAACUCACUCAUUCACAGCUCUAAUUCACCCCUCAUUUUAACUCAUUACUUGAUCGAGGGUUUCAAUGCACUUUCGCACUCCAGAGUAGCUUCUUUUCCUCAUCGAAAUCAUUCAAAAGCCCACUACGGGAAAUGUGAGACUGGAUUCACUCACAUUUGCCAAGUAUAACCUCGAAAGUGCAUUAGGGCUUCACAAGGCUCGGUGGUAGUGUAAGUCGAUACUCAUGACUUCACACACUCUAGCACCACCCGCUGUUAGGCUUAGAAAGGAUUCAUUCCUUCACAGUUCUACUAAACAUCACCAUCCCUCGAGAUCAGGACUACCCUUUGUCCUUGUGGUGUGGAUCUAGCAAGAUCGCAUCAACUAGACGAACGAUCCACCACCAACACACUAUGUGCACGGGUAGACCCUACGUACUCACAAAGUGGCACUUCACCACUUUGGCUAUCCAAGAGUCCGAUACAACUCUUCCUUGCAUUUCUCAUCACAUCGGGGAACACACUCCGAUUCGAUCACCAGCAUUGCCUAGAAGCAAUAUUAUCGGUGCAUCGACCAAUCGCGAGUGCUUCAAUCCCAAUCGAAUCUUUGCUCUCUCACGAGAUGGUACACUCUCACACAUCUCUGAUCUCAAUCCUCUUGAGAGCAUCAUUCUCAAACUCCAAUCCUCGCGUGGCUAUCCAUUAUUCAAGUGUCUCCUAGAGACCACUUUACUUUCUCUCUAUUCUUGAUACGGUAAGCCACGAUCAACUUCCAUUCGCUCUUGCAACGAAUUUACACAAACCCGCCCUCCAGGGUUCAGGCCAAAACUCACUAACAGAGUUGUCGGCCGCACCAACCGUCGGUUUGCACAGGUGGACCGAGGCCACCAAUCCUACGCAGGUCUACCGCCUAGACUCGUCUCAACGACGCCUAGCGUCUCUUGCUCGCAAGCGCAGACCCAAUCAUCAUCGGGCGACAUUCUCAUUGGAGAAUUCGCACACACUCCAACCAGGAGCAACCAAGACCCCAAACCACGUCAAGUCCUCGGGUUGGGUCACUACACACUCGGUGUACCAUCGAUCUCAUGAUCCAACACACGGCAUUCCGCGUACUCGGGUCCAAGCUCGGACUACCAUCUUGACCAACACUCUGCCCUACCCAUAGGUACCGGGCCACUGUCUCUCAUAGCUGACUGCGCCUGCCCAAUAGGCCCAGGCUCCACAGUCCACAAAUGGUCCAGGCACGGGUCGUCCCCAAGCGCUACCCGCCAACGUCGUCCUACAUGACAUGCUCUGCAGAGCUAUACACUCUAUCGGUUCCUAGGCACCUAGUGCAAGCCACCAGCCCCCACGAGUGAUCCAUGGCCCGCUUCACACUUAGCUAGGCUAAAGUGCUACUGCCAACUCACUCACCCUGCUGAAUCAGAACCGCACCUCACGAGUAACUAUACUCGAGCGCUCUACGCCUCUCUACAGCGUCUCACACGAAGUCUAGCAUCAAGCAACUUGCCUAUGCACACCGACUACACGAGCACAACUCGCCCACCUCAAUUCGAGGUACUACUAGGCCCACAAGCCAAACUCGGCACUAAUCAACCAAUUUCGCAACAGUGGUUCAUCUUCACUGUUCGAUCUACCGAAUCCGUAUCCGAAAUACUCUUGGAAUAUUCGGGUAUCCCCAAACAUCAAGGCUCAACUCUCACAAUCUCUUAUCCAUUGCUUCGAGAGUCAUUUACUAGGUCACAUUCGCCACGAGUCCCAUUUCUUAUCCAAGAACCAUCACAAGCCAUUCGCUAGUGUCACUUGGCUUUCUACCUGCUCCAGCAGGUGCUAUACUCUCACAAUGCAAGCAUGCUCGGGUAUCCACCUACCGGACCACUCGGUCCCUACUAUGCAAUGUAAUAAUAGUAGCAACUGACCAAUGAUGAAUGCAUGCUAUGCACCAACUUGAGAUCAUACAAAAGCAUAUGAUUACUCAAUUAACUCAUACCUGCCACGUCGUCGUCGGCAACGGCAGGCCCCGCAACUCGAGUCGCUUACCCAUAGCCACUUGGCGCUCAUCGCGAACCCUCCGGUUGCAUCAUUCUCAACGGUCGCUUCCCCGACUAUGCUGCAGGUGGCACACCUGCAAGCUGUCCCGGAGAAGAAUGGACCGUCGCUAGUGUCAAGGCCCGGCUACUACCCUGCGAACACUCGUCCCGCAUAUGGCCCGAUAGCCCACACUUGAAACACUUGCCCUCACGCUGCUCGCACUACUAUGGGUAAUGAGGGCCCCCACAAAUCGCACAUCUCACCGAUGACCGAAUGUGGUUUGUCCCCGGGGCUCGAGAUCGAGAGCGCGAACCCGACGAGGUCUGUUGGGAACUUGAUUGACCAGUGGAUCCACUCGUUGGUCGUCAUUUUCCUUUCUCCUCGAAAUAUGCCUCGCGCCUCUCUCGCAGAGAUGCCUCGCCUUGUUCUAUCCACAAGGCCUGAUCCAGGACUUCCGCAAAAGUCUGCAACUUAAGCAUUAUCACAGGCUUGUAAAGAUCCGGCCGAAGUCCACGCACAAAGCAGUCGGCCUUAUCCUUGUCAUCCCGUACCACGUCUGGGAUACAAUGCACGAUACGGGAGAACUCCCGCUCAUAAUGCCUGACCGAGCAACCUCCUUGCCGCAGUUUUCGGAAUCUUUCCUGAAGCUUCCGCUUCUCACUAUCGGGGAAAUAAGCAAAAAAUAUCAACCCCCGAAACUCUUCCCAAGUCAUAGGAGGGAGACGAGGCGAUCGAUCUCGCCUAACGCCUUUCCACCACACCUUCCCCGAUUAUUUCAGAUAGUGCACGGCUAGGUUUACCUUUGUCUCGCUCCAACGUAUACAGAUCCUCGAAGAGUGUCUCCAUGGAAUUGACCCACAUCUCAACGACCCACGGAUCUGCAUCCUCUCUAUCAAAGGUAAGCGGAUCAAAUUUCUUGAAAGUCAUGAGGGCCGCUAAAGCUCGCUUCCUCUCCACCACAACCUCUGGACCAACAGGAGUCAAAUCGCCCGACCCCGACGGAAACGCAUCCGCCGCAACUCCCGGCUGUCCUCGACCAGCCGCAGCUGGUGCUGCCACCAGCCGAUCCACAAUCUCUUGGAGUCGUUCCAUUCGCUCCUCCUAGUGCAUGGCAGCCUCCUGCUCCCGCUGCACCACAUCAGCUUGUUGCCUCAUCACUCCAAUGAGCGUAGCCAACUAAUCACGAAGCUCCGAGUCUCCGCUCGCGUCGGUUUGCUCAGGGACACCACUCGUCCCCUCCCGCGCCGAUCUGGACGAAGAUCGCCUAUGGCAACCUCCUGCUGCCAUUGUUUCCUGAAACAGAACAACUCGAUUAGCUCUUGACCAACUCGGGUCGAACACGAGACCACUAACACCGGCUCAAAAGCCAAUUGGCGAAAGUCAUGCAAGAACACCUAUUCUCGUCACUCGGCUUCAUGUUGUGCGCGCCCAACAUGAACACCCUCGGUCGAGAAUAAACCAUACCUUGAGUCUACCUCUAAUAUCCGUCUUAGAGGUUAUGACACGACCCAAUCCAUUAACCUUUCGCCACGAAUCACAAGUCCUCGUCUCUCACGAGCCUUAUUCUCCUAUGGUUUCACUAUCCUAGGGUCUCCUAGGUCUGUCUAAACUAUUUUUCCAUUCUCUACUUUAUGCUCUGAUGCCACCUUAAUCUGUCACGCCCCGCGACUGCCCGCCUAUUUGGCCGGGUCGCGGCGCCGCAAACAGACCGCCGAACGGACAGAGUUUCCCCUGUACGUCCUAGGCGUCGCAAUCAAAACAAUACAAAGGUUCCAACCAGGAACUGAUAUCAAUCAAGAUUGCAUAAUGAAGUAUCAAAAACAUAACACAUCCUAUGUUAUUACAAGCAUGCAUUCUCAAGUUCCACAUAAUACAUUUGUUUAUAUUGAACUUCCAAAAUACAAUCCGAUUAUCAUAAACAUUACAAGUUUGAUACAACUUGGUUCAUUGUCUUCUAGUCCCCUAAGCUAGACUAUCUCAGGGUACUGCUACCUCGGUCUCUGUGAUAGGGCGCUAUCUACGGAGCUACGCCCUUGCCUCGGGCCACCGCGCCACUCACGUGCGAACCUGAAACACCCCAAAACAACAUGGGAUGAGAACCAACUCCAUGGUUCCCAGUGGGUACGGCCACCCAAGGGAAAAGCUCGACCAAUAGGUCCGAGGAGGCACUGCAACAUGUUAGUUCAAUAAUAUACAACAGAUAUAUAUUCAAAAUUGAAAUACAUGCCAUGCCUCACGAUAUGCAAUAUGAAAAUCAUGCAACUAGUAGAUCAAUCGAUUCUACAUUUUACUUAGCUACUCUUAGCUCAUAAUAUUCAACUCUAAGGUGUCUAUUACCUUCGGAUCAAACUCAAGUCCACUAGCUUCUAAGGUCUCUAUUACCUUAGCUCUAGCCUCUAUCACUAGCUCAUAGGGUUUCUACCACCUCUAUCCAGCUAUCCACCCGACUCGGCUUCGAGUCAAUCAUCCGUGGAUAUUACGCACACUCGCUGCUCAACAGCCUAUUGCUCUCUGUGACUUAGCCUCUUAGCGGCGAAAUCGUCGCACACGCUGAACCCGGCUCAAGUCCCUUGUCACGCCCCGAGCUCCGCCAAUUUGGUCGGAUUCGAGCACAUGACAGACGCCGAACGGACAGUACCUACCCUGCCCGCCCAAGGCUCCAACAACAAGUAUAUUACAAGCAAGUCAAAGAGAGUUGCGGAAUAUACAAGGUUUGCAAGAGGGCAAACAAUGACCACAGUGAAAGCAUCGAACUAACUAAACAAUCGAUAUACAUGUCAUUUGAUUACGUUUGAAUCAAACACAAGAAAUCUAUUACAUUCAUUACAUCACGAUUUCCAUUAACCAAAAUAUAAUUUACAUCAUCUUUAUAAUACAACAUUUUCACCUUAUGAUUUCAACAUACAAAAGUUGAAUUCACCGAAUGUAGGGUAUGCCUAUGUAACUCUGGGGCCGCUAUCUACGGCGCGACUCCCUUGCCUCGAUCCUCCGCCGCCCCGCUCGCGUACGGAUCUGCAGGGUUAGUGGUAAUGAGAACUAGAAGAAGUUCCCAGUGGGUUCGGCCGCCGACCACGCCGAUUCGCCCACUAGGUCUAAUUCAGGCAUAUGUAUUACAAUAAAGAAGAAUAAUGAACCAACUAAUGCAUUUCUAAUACAAUGCCUGCAAGAACAAACAAUUCACGGAUAGAUAUUCACCAUCAAAUACAUGAAAACGAUGCAUGCAUGUCCUUCUUCACUUUCCUUUGGCCUUUACCCAAUUCAACCUGGGGUGCUCCUGGUUUACCCCAACUCACAGUCCACAUAUCCAUCUAACGGGGGAGGCACAAGGCACUACCACCCGAAGGAUCUUCGCCGGGCACGUCCACCCGUGGUGCAUUUCCUCUCCGGAGUACACCGCUCGUGGAGGAGCGACCUCUCACAAGCCGGAACCAAUACAUGUGAGUAUUAUCCCAUCCUCAAUUUUGAGGAGGUAUGGCCAACCUGUCACAACUCUCACUGUCUCAAUGCUAAUGAAUGGUUAUUACCUAUUCAUGCACAUACUGUCACUUGCCAACGUCACGGUGGUCCUGAUGCCACAAUACACAUAAUGUCACUCGGGUUAAACCUUGUUUAACUAUUCACUUAUCGGUGUCAAUCGAGUCACUAAUGUCAAUGUCGCCUUUGUUUACUACGGUCACGGUCAUUUCUUACAUUCACAUGCAUAUAGGGUCUUUCACUAUCUUUGUUCACAUGGAUCUCUAUCAUUGCAAUAAUCUUACGCAGAUAAUUGUCACAACCAACAUGUACUGUUCAUUACCCUACCUGCAUGAAUGCUAUAAUAUCAACAUGCUCAAAGAAAGGACAUGGACAUAGAAAGAGAUCCGGUGUUUCCGGAUAGCACCCCCCACCUUUGUGUGUCACAAGGAUGCCACGGUUCCGAUUCCACGAAAUUAGGACUCGUUCGCCGCAAGCUACGACGAUCUGUACUAUUUUCGCUUACUAUUUUCGCUUGUUUUCUUGAUAUCUUCGCGCACGCUCGUUGUAUCGCCGAACCGAGCGCACCGAUGCGUUCGUAGACCUACCAAUUAGGUUAAAAUGAGAUCAACACUAAGUUUGAACCUCAAAAUUACAAAACCCUAAAUAUAGGUCCUCCACAAUGUCAUCUUCUCCAAUCAAGCCCCUAGCUUGACAAAGCAUGGAGGAAAACCACCAUAAACCUCUCUAGAUGCUUCAACUAGAAUCAAAAACCCAAAACCUAACUCAAAAUCACAAGAACUCACCUUUGGAGUCCAAAGCUUCCCUUCAAAAGCCUUGCCUAGCUUGGUCUUCACCUUGGAGAGCUUCUUCUCCAAGCUUUUCUCCUCCAAACCCUCCUUGGUCCAAGCCCUAGAGAGAGAGGGAAAGAGAAGAAAAGGGUUUUUAGAGAGAGAGAGGAAGGUUUGUGUUGAGGUGUGAGGAAAUGAGAGCUAACCCUAACCCUUAGCUCUAUACAACCAUCUCAUGCAAUAUUUGCACUUAAACCCCUCUCAAUCUCAUAUUUGCGACUAGCCCUUACUGGGCAUUUUUGGGCUCGGGGACCGGUCGCUCCCCUUCAGGGACCGGUUCCCGAGAGCUGCCCUGCUCUCUGCGCAGAGGGGGACCGGUCUUCCCCCGAUGAAACCGGUCUCCGGGGACCGGUCUCCCGCUGAAGGACCGGUUCCCGAGAGCUCAGCUUCCAGGACUUAGCCGAUUUUUCCUUCUACUCGAUUUACCAACAUUCGGGAACCGGUCUCUCACCUAAGGGACCGGUCCCCGAGAACAAAAAUUAUGGGAAUUGUCCAAAACUGCUGAUUCACUCUCUCGGGUCCCCUUAUAUUUCAUAUAUAGGCUCCAAUUCACUUUUAGCCUAUAGUAACUCACUCCUUUCCGCGUUCCGCUCAUUUCGACGAAACUCGGCACGACUCACGAGGAAGUGAUAUGUUACAUUCCUUGACAUAGCCAUUCUGGCGGCGAGCACGUUGCACUUACCCAGCGAGGACUCAAGUCAUGACCUAUCCAUCUGGCGGCGAACUAAUCGCACCUCACCCAACAAUGGUUUCAGUCACGACUCAGCCACCUGGUGGCACCCGCAUCGUACUUACCCAGCAAUGGUUUCAGUCAAUCCCGGCGGUCUGAUCCACAGUCGGCUUAACCAUUCGGCGGCGAAAUCGUCGCACACGCCACGUCAAUGGUCCAAGCCACGGGCGGUGAUCUCCAUGUGAUCGCCCCCAAUCUUCCCUCGGUAUCAAUCUCGGCGGCGAAGUCGUCGCACACGCCCAAGCCUUAAUACCAGGAUCAUCUCAAGUCCUGGAAUUCCGGAAUCCACUUUCCACAGGUCCAGGGUCCAUAACCAAUCCUAUGCUGUCGAUCUAGAACAUCCUAGUGGCUAAUACCACUAUACUCAACAACCUAGGUUUAACUUCACUCUAGGUUCAUCACAUACAUAACCUAGGUAAAACCGCUAGGUUCUAUCUCAUCUCUGCCUAGAUGUCAACCUCUAGGUUCACUUGUUCGACCUAUGUUUACUAACAUUAGGUUUGAUGCCAUACUAGAUUUGUUCGACUCUAGGUUCCAGUACAACCUAUGCAUUUAAACACUAGAUUAGGUGCCACUCGAUCUACUUGACAUCCUAGUUGUCCAAUCGAAUAUUCUAUUGUUCUCAUGUCAAUCAACUCUACACUUCUAGAGUUAUCAUCUAGUUUACAUGCAUAUAUAUAAAGUCGUGCUACUCAUGCACUCAUGCUAUCCUCUAGAAUUUAUACAUCAUGUUCAUCAUGCAUUCUACUUAGCAAUCUAAUAUAUGCAUUAUCAUUAACAUGCACCAUUUAGCAUUUUCUACAUGCAUCAACUUCAAAACGUAUGUAUCUUAGACAUAAAGGCGGCCUAGUCGCUUCGGUAAGCACAACCCACCUUAGCUUGCUUUUCGAUUGCUCGUCGACACUUGCAAUCGGCCUCCCGCGGUACUCGGCACCCGUUUGGGCCUGAUCUUGUAGUUGCACUCCAAUAGUGCGUCGCUUCGCCGUUACGGUGCUCGGGACCCAAUCUCGCGAUUUAUGGACGUCGCCUCGGUCCUCUUGGCCAAAACGAAGCUCGCUCGGCCUUACUUUGCCGAUAUCUUUACACCCGCUUGACGAAUGCUAAAUCUGUCGCUUCCCACUCGUUUAUACACCUAACAAUUAGGUUUACAGAGGGUCAAAAGAGAUCAAACCCUCACAUAUACCAAAACCCCAUUUUGGAUGCCCUAGAUGCUAUUACUACCAAAUCCCCCAAAUCCCUUCGUGAUUUGGGUAUAAUCCAUCUCAAUAGCAUGCUAGGGUACCAAAAAUACCAUUUCUAGGGUUUGAAAUCCCCUCCUUAAAGAUUUACCAUGAGAGGAGGCAAAGAGCUUACCUUUCUAGGUUGCUCCAAGCACGAGGAAGACGAAGGAGAGGAUGAAGAUCUCCUUCUUAGUCUUCUUCUCCUUCCUCUUCUCUUUCUUUCUUCUCCUUUCCUUUUUUUCCUCUUCUUUUCUUUUCUUUCUUCUGUUCUCCUUCUUCACGUACAAAGAGAGAGAGAUGAGGGAGAGUGAGGGAGAGAGAGAAAGAGAGAGAGAAAAGCCCUCUCUUAAUCCCCCCUCAUAUUGUAACAAAAUGCUAGGAAGCCCCUCAACUUUCCACCCUUUACACUGCCCUCACUGGGCUGAACCCGCGCGGAGGGACCGGUCUCCUUGACCUGGGACCGGUCCUAGAGGACCUUCCCAUUUUCCACGCAUUCGGGAACCGGUCUCUCCCUGCGAAACUAAUCCCCGGAGACCAGUCUGCCCACUAGAGACCGAUCCCCGAGAGCUCGUCUCGCGGGACUUAGCCAAUUUUUGGUCAUUCUCGCUGGUGUCGCCUGCGGGGAACCGGUCCCUCUCUGACAGGGACCGGUUGCAUCAGCAACCCCACAACCCUCUGCCGAUGGGACCGGUCUCCCAUUGCCAGAGACCGGUCCCCGAGAGCAAAACCUUCCAAAAGUGCAGAUUUGCAUCUUUUGCUCUCGCGGACUUCAUUCCAAUGCACUUUUUGGGUUUUGUGCAUCCUUAGCUUCUCCAAAGCUUACCCACUCGACAAUUAGUCGAUCCUGGACGAAGUGUAAUCCUCGGAUUUCGAGAAUUUACUUUGUUACAAAACAGUUUGAUCCGCCUACCUUUGAUGGAGAGAAUGUCGAUCCGUGGAUCGUGGAGAUGUGGAUUGACUCCAUGAAAAUGCUCUUCGAGGAGCUGUACACAUUGGAGCGGGACAAGGUGCCCCUAGCCGUGCAUUGCUUGAAGCAAUCGGCGAAGGUGUGGUGGAAAGGCAUUCGGCGGAACCGAUCGCCUAGUCUUCCACCCAUGACUUGGGAAGAGUUUCGGGGAUUGGUGUUUUCUACGUACUUCCCCGACUGUGAGAAGAGGAAGCUUCCAGACAAUUUUAGGAAGCUGCGGCAGGGAGACCGCUCUGUGAGGGAAUACGAAUAGGAAUUCUCCCGUAUCGUGCAUUGUGUCCCGGAUGUGGUACGGGAUGACAAGGAUAUGGCCGAUUGGUUCUUACGUGGACUUCGACCAGAUACUUACAAGAAAGUGCAGAUCCUCAAGCUCACCACUUUCGCAGAAGUGUUGGACCUAGCAUUGUGGGCAAAGCAUGGCGAGGCUUUCGAGCGUGAGGAGCGCGAAUCUCAUAAGCAUGAGCGGGAAAGGGUGAGGUCGUUAUCAAGCGGUUCGGGUGGGCAGUCAAGUUCCAGACACCACUCGAAGUCGUCCUCUACCCGAUCCUCCUCAGGUUGCGUGAUUUGUGGUGGUUCCCACCAGGCGCGGCGAUGUGCGCUACGUGAUGGAAGGUGUAUCCGUUGUGGACAGCCAGGUCAUAUGCGGGAUGAGUGCCCGCAAGGCGAGAGCCAGACCUUGACAUUAGCGACGGCCUUCUCCUCUCCGAGACAACUUGUGGAGGUGCGACCUUUGGCACGGUCUGGAGAGCAAGGUGUGAUGAUCAAGCAACCGGGGGGUUCACAGCGAGCGCCAAGUGGCCAUGGAUAUGCGACCCAGGUUGAGGAACCUGCCGCUGCUGACGACGUCAUGGCAGGUAUGAGUUAGUUAAGCAAGCAUAUACUGCUACAUGAUAUCAAGUUAUUGCAUAGCAUGCAUUUAUUAAAUGGUCAGUUGCUACUGUUGGUACAUUGCAUAGUAGGGACCCAUUGGACGGGUGGGUAGAUACCCGAGCAUGCUUAUGCGGUGAGAGUGUGGCGCUUGCUGGAGCAAGUAGAGAGCCGAGUGGCACUAGCAAAUGGCUAGUAAUGGUUCUUAGACAAGGAGUGGGACUCGUGAUAGAGACGAAACGGUGAAGCGACUCUCAAGGCAAUGAGUAUUGGAUUGCGAGAGUUGCGCCGUGAAAUUGAGGAUACCCGAAUAGUCUGAGCGAUUCGGAUGUAGUUCCGGUAGAUCGAACAGUGAGAGUAGAAUCACUGUUGAGAGAGCGGUUGGCUAGUUGCCGAGUACAAGCACGUUGGCCUAGUAGUACCUCGAGUUGAGGUGGGUGAGUCGUGCUCGUGCGGCCGGUUCGCAUAGGCAAGGUUGCCUAAUGCGGAACGUAGUUGGAACGCUACAGAGAAGUGUAGAGCGCUCGAGUGUAGGUAUCAUAGGGUAUGGAUGAGAAUCAGUCGGGUGAGUGUUGGCAGUAGCACUGAAGCAUUGCUAAGUGUGAAGCAGGUCAUGGAUCACUCGUGGGGCUGGUGGCUCGCACUAGGUGCAUAGGAGCCGAUAGUGGUAUGUGUGACUCGAUAGAGUAUGUCGUGUAGGACGACGACGGCGGGUAGUGCUUGGCGACGACCAGUGCCUGGACCACUUGUGGACUGUGGAGCCUGGGCCCUUCGGACAGGCGCAGUCAGCUGUGAGUGACGGCGGCCCGAUACCUGCGAGUAGGGCAGAGUUUUGGUCAGGACGGUAGUCCGAGCUUAGACCCGGGAGCGUGGAAUGCCACGUGUUAGAGUGGGAGAUUGAUGACACACCGAGAUAGCGUGUAGUGACCGAACCCGAGGACUUGAUGCGGAGUGGGGUCAUGGAUUUCUCUGGUUGGAGUGUGUGCGAAUUUCCAAGUGAGAAUUUCGCCCAGUGCAGAUUGGGUCUACGCUAGUGAGCAAGGGACGCUAUCCGUAGUUGUGACAGGUUCGGAAGGUAGGUGCGUGGUAUUGGUGACCGUUGGUCCACCUGUGGAAGCUGACGAAAUUGUUUUAGCCGAUAGCUCUGUGGAUGAGUUGGGAUUAGAUUCACGAAUGGAGUGUUCGUGUGAGCUCGGUGCGAUAACGAAGUUGAGUUGGUCGUGGCUUAUGAUGGCAAGGGAUGAAAUGCUCUCAUGAGACAUCGAGCUAGUGAAAGCCACGCGAGAGUUGGAGCUUAGGGACAAUGCUCUUGGUGGACUCAGAUUGGAGAUGUGCUGGAGUGUGCCAUCUCGUGGUAGAGCAAAAGUUCAGUUGGGAUUGGAGCACUCGUGAUUGGCCGAUGCACCAACGAUAUUGCUUUUAUGCAAUGCCGGUGAUUAAAUCGGAGUGAAUUUCCCGAUUGAGUGUGUAAUGCACUUUUGGAGUUAUAUUGGGCACAUGUGAGUGAAUUUGGUCUCACAUCCUCUGUAGUGGGCCUUGGAAUUUAUUCAAAGAGUGAAAAGCCAUUCCGGAGUGGAAAGGUGCAUUGGUACCCUCAAAUAGCUCGGUAAGUCGAGUUGAUGUGUGGUUUGAAUUUCGCGGACGAAAUUCUUUUGAGGGAUGGAGAAUGUAACAUACCGAAACUUCGGUAGAAUAUUGGACUCUAGCCAAAUUGGUCAAAGAGCCCGAGAGAAAUGGUUUGACGAAGUCUAUUUAUCAUUCAAACAAUGUUGGAAUGGUUAGAAAUGAGUUCCAAAAGAGUUAGAAAGGUUUUGGCAUCGAUCGACACGAAAUAGAAUUAAAACGGAGCCGAAAACCAAGUCUGGGCAUAGUGUACCGGUACAACCAUCGAGUUGUAACCAGUAUAGAUAAGUGUACCGGUACAAAGUGAAAGUGUACCGGUACAAAUGCCCCAAACUCGAGGGAGUUGCUCUUGGGUUUGGUCAUAUGCGAUCGUGUUACCGGUUACACGAUGAAGUGUACCGGUACACUUUGGGCUGACAGUAGGAAAUAGGUUUGCUGCAAAUAUAAGUUGUUGGGGGCCUUAUUUGCAAAUGUUGCACACUAUAUAUGCAACGAAACCUCUUCUCCUUCACAGCAGCCCUCUCCUCUCCCAUUUUCUCUCCUUCUCUCUCUCUCUAGAAGCUUUGCACCAAGGCAAAGGAGAAGGAGAAGAAGGCUUGGAGAUGGCAUUUUGAGGGUUUUGAACGAUCAAGAAGCUCUCCUUCAUGGUGGUCUUGGAAGAGCUUGGGCUAAGGUGAGUUAUUUUGAAAGAAUACAUCUACUAGGGUUUAGAUUUCUACCCUAAGAUCUAGAGUUUUGAUCUUCUUCAAAGCUUUAGAAUCUUGUAGAGACUUGGAAACACAUAAAAACCAUAUGUUCUUCAAGGUGCUCUAAUGGUAGAUUUCUAGGGUUUGUUCUAAAUACCCUAGGAAUGGUUCGAAUGGUUCUAAAUGAGUUCUUAGAUGUUGAACAAGCUCUCUUUUGCUUGUUCUAGAGAUCAAAACAAAGGAUUGGGAUUAUGACUUUGUUAGGGCACCAAAUUUGAGGCUUUUGCCUCCGGGUGUUUUCGAGGUAAAUUAAUCUCUUGGAAACCUAAUUGGGGCUAUUUCCGACGCGUUGGUGCGCUCGGUUCGUCGAAACGAAAAGACUAGGUAAUAGUUCUUGGUAAAAAGCCUAAUUUGGCUCUAAUUUGGUACAGAUCGACGGAACUCCCGAAAUAGGAGUACAAAAAUCACGAGAACGGAUCCGGAGUAUCGUGGCAUCAAGUUAUUGAUCGAACAACUUCCGGAUUUUGGAUUGGUGGCCGUUGGUGGUCGAGUACGAGUUCGGCCGCACCGGACAACGGGUGCCGCAGGAGGCCGAUUGCAAGUGACUACGAGCAAUCGGAGUGCGAAUCGACGUGGGUUGUGUUCACCGAAGCGACUAGGUCGCCUCUAUGUCUAAGAGAAAAGUGGUUUCAUAUUGAUGCAUGUAAAUGUUAGAAGAAGCAUGUGGUAUACUAAAAGAAUGCAUGUGAGCACAUUGUAAGAAUGCAUGUUAAUGACAUAAUGUGAAGGGUUAUUUGCAUACAGGUCCCUGCAAACAUAGUGAAUUGCGGAUAUAUCCCUGCAAAUUGGAAACUCCAUAAGUUGUCCCUGAAAAAGUCCAAAGUUAUGCAGAUAUGUUCCUGCGGUCAAUAUCCGUUAGUGAACUGUUUAUUUUUUAACAGUUGAAGCGUGAAAUGACAUUUUUGCCCUUGCAAAUAUAUCCCUCCAAAAGCCCUAACUGAUAAACAUUUGCAAAAAUACCCUCGCAAAAAUGCCAACGGUCAUUUUUGUUCUUUAUAAGUGAAAUGUCCAUUUUGCCCUCACAAAUAUAUCCCUCCAAAAUCCAAAGUAAUAAAGUUGUACAGAAAUGUCCCCAAAAAUGACCCUAACGGUCAUCUUCUUCCUCUAUAAAUUCAUCACUCCAUUGCAACAUAUCAUAUAACUCUUUUUUUGCUCUUUUCUUCUUUAUUGAUCCACUAUUUUCCUUCUUCUCUCAUUUUGAUCUGUUAAAUCACAGCAAUUUUAUUUUUCGAAUUUUUUUUCUUUUCUAAUAUUUUUAUAAUGAGUGAAAGAUCAGCGGAUUCUUCUUCGAGCAACCAAAUCCCCAAGUGUGAUUACUUUAAAACUUGUAGAAUUUGGGUUUCAAAGCAAUCGCACACUAGAGGUCGUCGGUUCUAUGGGUGUCCAAACUGGGGGAUAAGAUAAUUUCUUUUGCAUUAUCUGCAGUAUUUAAUCCUAACUUUAAAUUUUAACCAUUUACUAAUUAGUUUCAUAUUUUGCAGAGUAAUGAGCGCUGUAAUUAGUUUGGUUGGAUUGAUGAUGCACACCACAAUACUGUUGACUUAAAAUACCAAGUACAAGCAUUUCAAGAAGCAGUGGAGCAUCGUAUUCAGAAGUUAGAAAAGAAAGCUUUAUUUCUACUUAAGUUGCUUGUAUGUUUAGUAUUGACUAAUAUCUUGUUUAGUUUGACAAUGUAAUGUGAGUGAUAAUUGUACUUGUUGUAAUGCAAGUGAAUAGAGAUGUGUAAGCUUUAUUUCUACAUACAUUUUAUAGAGUAAUGGAAGCAUUAAAAAAUCUGUUCUACAAAGUAUCCAAAGUCAAUAUUGUUCCAUACAAACAUAAUAUCCAAAGUCAAUGUUGUUCCAUACAAAUAUAGUAUCCACUGUCAAUGUUGUUCUAUACAAACAUAGUAUCCACAGUCAAUAUUGUUCCAUACAAACAUAGUAUCCACAGUCAAACCAAUACAAAGUCAAAAUGAUCCACAAAAGUAGAACCAAAUACAACACAUAUCUAUUCAAACCAAAACAACUGCUAUUCAAGUUUCAAACCAAUACAAACUCAAAACUAUUGCAUCAAGUUUCAUAUCUAUUCAAACCAAAAUAUUGCAUACAAAUCAUCCAAGGGUCUCAUUUCAAGUACCCACUAUUUCGAAUUGAAGUAUCCAGAGGCUGAUUGUGCACAACAAUCUAGAGGUUGAUUACAUACAAACCAAAAUAUUGCAUCCAAAGGCUGAUUGCAUACAAACCAAAAUACUAGAUACAAGCAUCCAGAGGCUGAUUGCGCUUCAAGUAUCCACCAUUUCAAGUAUCUACCAAAAUACAUCCAUUCAAAUCUACCAAAAUAAGGCUUUUACUACAUCAACUAUUUUUCUAAACCAAAUCUUAAUUUUCUAGAGAACCAAGUGCAUCAAUUUCACUUAUAGCACUUCCUUGUUGGGACUGCAAGUGUUUUUAUCUCGAUACUACUCUCUUUCCUCUACGCCUGUAGUUUUUAUAUAGUUACUAUUGUAGCAAAGAAAAUAAAUUUCAGGAAAGUGAACAUUGUUGGUCAGUAUAGUACCUUGUGCGACUGCUAAUACUUGCUUGAGAUGGUGGUUUAGAGUGCGCAUUCCCUGCUUGAGAUGGUUCUGUAGGCUGUUGAUUCGUUGCUUGAGAUGGUGCUGCAGCAGGCUGUUGAUUUGUUGCUUGAGAUGGUCCUGCAGCAUGCUAUUGAUUCAUAUCGACAGGGUUCUUGCAUGUUUUUGCACAGUGGCCUAAUUUAUUGCAUCUUUUGCAUCGAUGCCUCUUCCUGAUUGUCAUCUCGUCUGAUCCUCUAAUUCGCUUGCUUCGAGGUCUUCCAGCUGGCCUAUUUAAAAUAGGAGGUAAUACACGAUGACCGAUGUCAAUCUUUACCCAUUGAUCACAACUGGGUAAUGGUGCAAUGGAACUAGCAUAGGCCUCCUUAUAUUUGGCCACUGUAAAAUAUGGGUGCACAUAUUUUUUCCACUUUUCAUGUUUUAAUUUACCUAUUACUGCCAUUGCAUGAAUGCAUGGCACACCUUUCACUUACCAUAACCUGCAGCUACACUAUGUUUCAUGUAGUUUCACCUCAAACCUUGAUUGAGGUCCAAUCACUUCUGCUGAAAAUUCAUCACUCCAUAGCACCUCAUAUUGACCCAAACCCUAAAAUUGUGACGAUGGAUAGCAUAAACAAAUUAGAUUAUAUCUAAUAAAGAGGCCAAAGUAAUUAGACUAUAGCUUAAAGGUAAAGAAAAAAUUAGUAUACUGGAUUAGAUAGCAUAAAUUAGAUUAUAAUCAUGAAAAAUAAUUACACUAUAGCUUAAAUUAGAUUAAAUUAGAUUAAAUCAAUGUAAUACCUUGCUUAUAUUGUUUAUAUAUUUGAGAACUGUUGGUACAAUUUCAUGAUCCCAUUUUCUUGCUCUAUUUCUUCUAUCCUCUAUCUUAACCAUUAUUUUUUGCCGGAUAGUAUCGAGCAUAUCAAUCAAUGGUCUAUGCUUAGCAUUAGAUAUCCAUGCGUUGAAUGAUUCAGGAUAUUGUUAGUCAAGUAAUCAUACUUAGCAAUCGUUCCGAAUUUACUUCGACUCCACAAAUAACUAUGGUUUUGCCGCAAGUAUUCAAUAGCCAUUGGAUUUGCUUCAUACACCUUAGCGAUGCUAGUUUCGUAAACAUUAGGUGUAUAUGCUUUUGCUGCGGCCCACAGAUUGUCUCUAUAGUAGUCCCCACGAAAUUUUUUUUUGAAGUUGCCAUAAAGAUGGCGCAUGCAUUCUCUAUGUUCAACUCUUGGAUACACAACUUGAACGGCCUCAUCUAAGCUUUUUUGUCUAUCCGAGGAGAAUACUAGGCCUUCGGAUUCUCCUAUUGCUGUCUUCAACCCAUGAAGAAACCAUUCCCAACUAUUCGAGUUCUCCGACUCCACAACACCAAAAGCUACUGGAAAAAUUGAUUUAUUUCCGUCAAUACUUGUGGCCGAUAUCAAAACUCCUCUAUGCUUUCCUUUGAGAUGACAUCCAUCUAAUGCAAUAUAAGGUCUACAUCCAUUGAGGAAUCCUUGUAUGCAUGGACCAAAUGCAAGAAAAACUCGCUGAAAAUGAUGCUCUCCAUUAAUCACUUGCAGCUUUACCUCCACGUGGCUGCCGGGAUUUCUUCUAAUAAUUUCCUCUUUAAAAUCAUAGAUUCUUUGAUACGAAUACUCCCAAUGACCAUGAAUCUUAGACAAUGCCAUUUCUUUUCCCCUAAAUAUCUUGGAAUAGGUCAAGUCCACAUGAUAUUUUUGUUGCAGUCUCUUCCGCAAUUCAGUUGUAGAUAAAUCUCCUUCCAACCGUAGCCACUCAAUAACCCUAUUGCACACCCACGAUUGUGUUGCCACUUUGUUCCGACACCUAUUGGCCGACGUGCAUGUGUGCUCUCCUUGUAAAGUCUUUAUCUAUCACGUAAAUGUUAGUUAGAAAUAUCAGCAACUUUCAUUUAUAAAUGAAUGAUACUAAAAGUACAUUCAAGAAUGAAAAGUGAAAAUAGGAUAAUGUUGAUAUUACCUGAAAAACUAAGGAAUCUUGAAGUCGAGACGCAUGGAUUCGCCACUUGCAAUUAGAUUUUGCGCACGUUGUAGUUACCCUCAAAAGAUCACUUUUUUGUAGGUUAUACUCAAACUCAUUUAGUAGGGCAAAAUGAGUCAAUGCAUAUCUAAAUGAACCUACAUUUGGAUAUUUUGCUCCUACUUCCAUAAUAGGGUUAUUCACAUCAUAUGAAAAUGUUCCUAUAUGAUCCAUAUUAUCCUCUAAAUCAGAAUCAUCAGUUUUAAGAGAACGAAAGCUAUCUUCACUUAACAUUGCAUCUGAUUCAUCAACUGGUUCUUUAGCAACUUGACCAACAUCUUCACCAAAUGCUUCACCAAUAUUUUCACCAACAUCUUCAUCAACUGCUUCUUCGGCAACUUGACCAACAUUUUCACUCAUUGCUCCACCAAUAUCUUCACCAACACCUUCACCAGCACCAUCACCAGCACCUUCAUCAACACCUUCACCAACACCUUCACCAACACCCACAAUGUUAUUAUCAAUCAUAUCAAUAUUGCCCUCUUGGGUUAGAGUUUUUUCACCAUUAUAGUUUAAUGGAAUGCCUUGCGACUGAAUAGUUAUAAAAAUUUCUGCUUCUUUCAUGUCAUUGUAUAUAGAAAAUAUAGCCAUCAACUCCUGCUCAGAGAUUACUUGAAUGAAUUUCUUUGGCUUAACAUUUCUUGCUAUAUACCAUAUACCAAUGUUCUCCGUAACACCCCAAUCCCAUAGUGAUCGUACAUCUCGACAAAAUUCAGUAAGAUUGUAACUAUCAAAGUCUAUCAUCAACGAAUGCUUCUUACCAUCACAAUAUCUCAGUCCACAUGCAGUUUUUACUGUUUUAAAAUACCCAGCAUAAUUGAACUUCACUUGGAAAAAACCAUGCUCCUCCCUAUCUAUUAUCAAACUGCCACUGUAGAAACAAAAAAAAAAUAAAAAUGACUAGGUUCUAUACUCGUAUGCUCUAUGAAAAUAUGACAAUAAUUAUAUAGAUCUAACUUGGAUGAUUCAAGCCUACUUCUUAAGACGAAAAUUAUUUUAAAAAAUUAACCUAAAAUACUAGGGUUUUUUUUCCAAAACUAACAAUCAGAUAAAUCAAGUUUUUGAUUUAUAGUAUGUAGUGCACUAACCUUGCUCUAGUAAUGGAAAAAACUAACAAUCAGAGGAGCAAUAAACCUCGUUGAUGAAUAUGAUGGAAAAGACCCUAGUAAUGGUAGAUCUGAAGCUAGAGGAAGAGGAAUAGGAAGAGGAAGAGGAAGACGAGCAAUAAACCUCGUUGAUGUGAACCUCGUUGUUGCGCGAGGAAGACGAGCACUAAACCUCCUCGAUCGCGGGCGCUCUCCUUGCAUCGCGGUCGCUCUCCUCGCGCUCUCGGGCGGAACACCUGAGGGCUCUCCUUACGGUUUGGUUCCACUCAACUAGGGUUAAGGGCCCACCAUAGUAGUUAGGUAAGUUAAUAGGAUAUAACAUAAGAGGGGCAAACUAGUCAAUUCACACUAUUAACUAAUCAUGGUUAAGUAGUUUAACUGUGGUUAAAUAAAUUUCUCUAACAGACUCUAACAGCAGGGACAUAUCUGCAUAACAUUGCACUUUUGCAGGGACAACUUAUGGAGUUUCCAAUUUGCAGGGAUAUUCUGCAAUUCACUAUGUUUGCAGGGACCUGUAUGCAAAUAACCCUAAUGUAAAAUCCUAAGUGGAUGCAUAUGAUGUAAUAUAGAAAUGCUAGAAUGCAUGAUGAUAUAAUAUGAAUGAUGCUAGUUAAAAGCAUAAGGUAAAUUGCAUUUGCAUGUUAACAUAAAGUAGAGAACAUGCUGGUAGUAACGCAUAAUGACAAGUUGCAAAGAAUGCUAGUUUGGAUAAGGAUGUUAUGUAAAUGCUAGAUAAUUGCAUGAAGGCAUGGUUAGCAUUGUGAGGACUAUGGAAUACUCGAAUUAGAUAACUAGGAUGUCAAUUAGAUCGAGUGGCAUUGGACCUAGUGUUAGUAAACAUAGGUUGGAUAAGAAUGACACAUGAACCUAGUGUUAUUAAACAUAGGUGGGCAUCGAACCUAGUGUUAAAGAACAUAGAUUGAGAACGAACCUAGAGUUAAUUAAAUCUAGGUGUGCGGCAUUAACAUAGUGUCGAGAACAUAGGUUAAGAGUUGAGCCUAGAGUUAAAGUAAACCUAGGUUAUGUGAUUGAGGCAUUAAACCUAGAGUCAGUUCGACCUAGGGUGGAGAGUGCAUUGGACCUAGUUAGGUCAAUAAUAUAGGGUUUGAGACCAACCCUUGAGUUAUGUAAAGUGGAUUCCGGAAUUCCGGAAUCCCGGCUGCACGUGCAGCGGCUGCUAGUGCAGCAUUUGAGCUCGAUCGUUCUUGGCCGCGGGCGUAUGUGGCAUAUUCCUCUCCCACCAGAAGAACUUCAAGGCUUGUGAUUGAGCAAGAACAGUGAGCACUAGGGUGUAUGUGGUAUGUUCCUCUCCCUAUAGGGGAUCUCAGCUGCGGGUGUAUGUGGCAUGUUCCUCUCCCACCAGGGGAUCCCUGACCACAGUGUACGCAGCUUUGGGCAAACCGUUGGGCGAUGUGGUUCUUGGCCUAUAGGCUGAGGUGCAUGCGAGAGUUCCUUCACCUCGAGCCGGACAGAGCACGGAUUAUCCGCCGUUGAUUGACUCAAGACCGAGUCAGGUGGUAUAGUAUGACUAAGGUAAGAGUAACCUUAGUAAAGAAUGGCAAGUAAAGAGUAAAGCUAGCUAAGAAUAAAAAACGGCUAAAGAAUAAGGAAUAGCUAAGUAUAAAGAGUCGCUAAUAAGAAGGAAUUGCAAGUAGUAAAGAAUGGCUAACAAUAAAGAACGGAAAAGAUAGAGUAAAAUCAUUUAAUCCACUUGCAUAGUUGCAUGGAUUUCAUAUCGCAUAUCGUGAGGCAUGACAUGUAGUUCAAUAUCGAAUAAAUGUAUAAAUAUCUGUUAUAUGUUAUUGGACUAACCUAUUGCAGUGCCUCCUUGGACCUAUUAGUCGAGCUUUUCCCUUGGGUGGCCGUACCCACUGGGAACCAUAGAGUUUGUUCUCACCCCCGUGUUGUUUUUAGGGGUACAAAUUCACACGUGAGCGGCGCGGCGACGUGAGAAAAGGGCGUAGCUCCGUAGAUAACGCCCUACCACCGAGACCAGAGAUAGCAGUACCCUGAGUCGGCUACUUAGGAAUGUAAAAGAAAUGAAAAGAACAAUGUUGUAAUAAAUUGUAAUAAUUUGGAUUGUAUUUGGAAGUAAGAACCAAAGAAUCAAAAGGAAAUGUAAUAUGUAAAAUGUAUGUGAGAUGAAUGCUUGUAAUAGCAUAAUAGUACUUAUGUUUUCAUACCUUUCUUAUGCAAUCUUUGUUGAAUGAUGUUCCUGGUUUGAACCCCGUGCAUUGUUUGGAUUGCGACGCCUUGGACGUACAGGGGAGACUCUGUCCGCAGUACAGGAAAAACCCUGUCCGUUCGGCGGUCUGUUGGCGUGCUCAAAUUUGGCCAAAGAGGCGGGCUCGGGGCGUGACAAUAUUGCCCUAAAACAUUAUGUCAAUUGGCAAAGAAUAUUUUACAGGCUUACAAUACUGUGCGGCGUCAUAAUAAUUGUCUAAGAAUUGUUGUGAAGUUCAUAGUUGCCCUAGAACAUCAUACUAAUUGUCAAAGUACGCAACAUCAAGUACGCAUCACUCCUUUCCCCUCUUGGAGAUCAAGUUUUGGUAGAUUGGAGAUAGUUCGGGGAUGUCUGCAGGAGAUAGUUUUGGAACGUAUGUUUUCACUCUUGAAAGGAAUUUUGGACACUAGAGGGGUUUGAUUGAAUUAGCACUCCACCUGCGGAAUUUGAAUGAGAUGUUGCAUUGUGGAAUUUCUUAUUGCUGCCCUUGGUUUUAUCUAAUGUGUUUUGCAUCCAUUGUGCCUUCUUAGUAAUGUAGUGCAUCAUUGAACUUCGGCUGGAAUUAGAUAUUUCGUCUCAUUUAGAUUAUUACAUGUGUUUGUCUCAUGGAGUACUCUUCAUUCUCCUUGCAACUGAUCAAAUAAAUCAUCAAUGCGCGGCAAGGGAUACUUAUUCUUAAUGGUCACUUUAUUCAGCUUCCGGUAAUCCACACACAGCCUGAGUGAACCAUCCUUCUACUUCACAAACAACGCCGGCGCUCCCCUCUCACAAACCCUCUAUCAUCCAAUCCUGCAGCUACGCCUUUAGCUCUCUCAGCUCUGCUGGAGUCAUCCUAUAAGGUACCUUCGAGAUUGGUGCAGUUUCAGGAACUAUAUCAAUCAUAAACUCAAUCUCCCUCUCCGGCGGCAACGUAGUCAACUCAGGGGGAUACAAAUCCGAAAACUCAUGGACUAUAGGGAUAUCCUCGAGUCCCGGCGCCGCCGUAGGUACCUCCACAACUGUCGCUAAGAAAGCGAUACACCAACUACUCAGCAUCUGUCGAGCUCUCGCCGAAGAUAUCCAGGUGGCAAACAACGUACUCCUGCAGCCUCUGAAAGUGAACUCCUCCUGGCCUGGCUCGCAGAACGUCACCGUCCUCGCUCCACAAUCGAUCGUAGCAUAGUACCGCGGCAACCAAUCCAUACCGAGCACGAUGUUGAAGUCCUGCAGCUGCCCUAACACCACCAACAACACUCUGCAACCUGUAAAACAUAGUCGGGGAUAUGCACCUCUCGUGCCAAAGACAAUGACCCUAACUCUAGACCAUACAACAAUGCAAAUACUCGGCUAACAAAAGAAUGUGAGGCACCGGUACCAACUAAAGUACGAGUACAAAUGUCGAAAAUCAAAGUGAUACCUGCCACUACACGAUCGGCUGCUUAAGAGUCCUCCCGGCGGUAACUCGGUGGUGCUCCAAAAGUCUGCUGGUCAGCUGGCUGCGCUGAUGCAAUGGAUAGUGCUGGAAAUGUCGCUCUAGGACACGCUGACCUCACAUGUCCUGGCUGUCCACAAGUGUAGCAGCGGCCCUUUUUCUGCUCACAUUAUCGUGGCCAGUGUGGUCCACCACAAAUCACGCACCGCAGCGUCCUCGGUGACGGUCCCUGCUGAAGCAAUCUCCUGGAAUGCUGACACCACGAUGAACCACGACCCUGAGAACAAGAUCGAGAAAGCCUCAGCGGACGUCUGCUACUCACCUGUCCUCCAUCAUUUGGAAAAGGGCGCUUCCUGUCUUGGCUCUGCCCCGGUGCCAUAGUUCACUCCUGGACGGGUGUAACUCCAUGUCCCACCAAGAGUGCCUGCUGCACAGAUGCUCCUGUCUCAACGCCUGACCACUGAGUGAUAAUCUCAUAAAUCCUCUGCAAUAGUACACUCUGCUGCUUAAUCACCUCUGUCAGGGUAGCCAACUGCUCUCUCAAAUCAGGAGGUGCACUUGCCUCCGGUUGUGCACUCAGCUCUGCCUGGUCAGGCAUCUCUAGCGGUGCGACUUGAUCCCUGGUCGACGGUCAACCUCGGCAGCGAUCUGAAAGAAACAGAACGGGUUCAGAUACAACUCAACCACUCUUGACCCAAUCAACGAAAGUCUAGAAGGCAGCCCCUGUUUUCCUCUAAAAUUAUGUUGUCUGCAGCCAACAUAAUUUCUCAGGCCAAAAUAGGUACUCCUUCAAUCACUCACCCCACUCUCGGAGGAGUUAGAACAACUAAUCAUUGACUUUCGCAAUUAGAUUACGCCUCUCGCGUCUUGCUUUCCUAAGGUUUUCCAAACUUAGGUUCUCUAGGUCCCAACGACCUAAUGCUAAGCUCUGAUACCAACUUAAUCUGUCACGCCCCGGAUUACACGUUCCCCGGGCACGUCGACAAAUCCGCCGUAUGCAAAGGAAUUUUCCCUGUAUACGAAGCGACAACUCUACCUGUAAAACAACAAUACUACAAACAGUAGUAUAGAGCUGCUAGAAGAACUAGUAAAGUGAAAGAAACCGAGUUCCAUAUACAUACACUAAAUCCCAGAGUACAAAGCUACUCGCGCUGGCGAGUUAAAAGUCUGUAUGUACAUGAACCCAAACCAAAACAUCUACCUGCAGUAGGGGUGCCUCUAGCUCUGCUCCUCAGGUAGGGCUCUAACUCGUGACACCCUUGCCUAGCUCCUGACCAACAACAGCAGCAGCCGAAGACGAAGACUCUGCAAAAACGGAGUAACAACUAGGUGUGAGAACUACUGUAGAAACAAGUAGUCCUCAAUGGGUGCUGCCCUCAACAAUCAUCGGUCCACCCACUAAGUCUACAGAAGGUAACAAGGCUAGCAGGAAAAGCUGAAAAAAAUCUACCGCUACAUAUCGCUACACUAGCAUGAUCUACACUAACCAACUGUAGUAAAAGUCACAACUAACUCAAUCUCACUAGGGACUGUGAACACACCCGUCCCGCUUGUCGGAUCGAACCCGUAACCUACUCCAGGAGUAGCUGGUGGAGAAAACUCUCUAGGGACUGUGAAUACACCCAUCCCGUCUAAUUAGGUGACACCGUAGCUCGAGAGUAACCGGCGGAGAAGACUCUCUAGAGAUUGUGAAUACACCCGUCUCGUCUACUAGACUACACCAUAUCUCAAGAGUAACCGGCGGAGAAAACUCUCUAAAGACUGUGAAUACACCCGUCUCGCCUAAUUAGACUACACCAUAUCACAAGAGUAGUCGGUUCCAGAAAAGGUCCAACAGGACGGCUAAGACUCCACUCACGUCACAACCUCACCAAAGGUAGGGAAAAGCGUCACUCACUAUCUCACCCGGGCUGCCCAAAACGGACCCACCCUGCCUAUAUCUAGCUGCGCCGUACACGACCCCGAGGGUAGCCCGGCUCAAGAACUGUCCAACAGAAACUGCGACACUCAUCGCACUGAAACCUCAUUCCGGAAUGGCAUUCAUGGGCGCAACCUAACGAGUUUACAAGUAUCUCUGUCAAGUUCAUACCACUCUCACAGGCUAAGUCAAGUAACCGACUCUAACUGGUCUAACAACCAACAGGUAACGUGCCCUUGGCACAAUCUAACGCCAAAAAGGCGAUACGAGUCCACCGUCAAUUCCGACGGCACCCAACAGUCCGGAACAGCCUGAACGCUACUGUAAAAAUACACUCGGCAUCCUAGCACAAGCGUAACUAAAAACUAAACUAUCUAGAAUACUCACUAUGAGGAUACUGCAACAGUAUAAAAUAAUACAACGGCCCCUAGGCUAAAUCAGGUAGUUUAACAUAUGCCAGGUCCCGAACGCUGGUUUUCUCCUAAGUUUAAUUCUAAGUCCAACAUGUAUAUUUAUAGUUACAAGUCAUGCCCUCAAGCUAAUUUCAUUCAUUAUACAAUUGACGAAAUUGAGCUACCACAUGAUUUACAAAAACAGGAAAUCAUACAUGUCGACUACUAUAAUACUUAGGAAUAAACCGAUGUAACCCACCUCAAUUGCUAAUCCCUGGCAGCACGGAACUCCCCUCAGCUGCGGAACAACCUGCCGAAAUGUCCGAAAACCUCCCAAGGCCCGAAGUCAAGCUCCCGCUAAACUCUACACGGAGAAUCUGACAAUAAACAUUAAUUCUGCCUCCAAAAACAGCAACAGAGAAGAGCGAAAUUCCGACCAGCAAACCUUUACCAAAUCCAGCAAGUAAGGGCUUCGUGGAUUUCUCUCGAAGUCCCGAAUCCAACGAACCAAGUCCCGUCGAAACCCAACACUCCUACGCCGAGUAUGAACUGAAAUACCGACGGUCGACGCUGGAAAUUCUGCAAAUCAGCACCAAGCUCGAAAUGAUAAUACUUGAAGCAACGCAACGGAACACUCACCUCAAAGGCUAAUCGGACAUGGACGCAGCGUCGAGAACGGCGAAAACACACCCUCGCCUAGCUUCCUCGCAGCGCUACGAUCCCAACCGUACCCUCGAACGGCUUCGCGGCGCGUCGUCGGCGUCGAACUCGUGCUCGCGGCUACCUCCACCGAGCUCUUUGCUUCGGUUGAACAAAGAGAGAAGCAAACAAAUUAGGCAAUGCCCACCUAAUUUGUUGAUAAGCAUGCAUGGGUGUACGUGGCAUCCAAGCCACCUUAAUUUACAUGCACCAACCGACAUAAAAUAAUUAAGUACAUUAAUUAAUUAAUAAAUAAAACAAGGAUACUACAAGAAGCCUCCCCGGUGCGUUAUUUGCGGAGGCGAGCAUCGACCAACGACUUGCCCGCAAAGAUAAGGAAAGUGCUUCAAGUGCGGUCAGGCGGGACAUAUGAUACGGGAGUGCCCAAGAUGGGCGUCGUCUGCACCGACGGCGGUGUCAGUUCCUUCCACCCCGAGACAGCUUGCGUGGUUACCACUGGCUAUGUCAGCUGGACUAUCACGCCCCGAGCUCCGCCUAUUUGGUCGGAUUCGGGCACGCCAACAGACCGCCGAACGGACAGAGCUUUCCCUGUACGUUCUAGGCGUCACAAUCUAUACAAUGCAAUACAAAAGGUUCCAACCAGGAACUGUAUUCAAACAUAGAUUGCAUAAGUAUCAAAAACAUAGAAUGCUAACUAUGCUAUUACAAGCAUUCAUCUCAAGAUUUUACAUUUACAAUAUUAUAUAAGCCUUUAAAUUAUCACAAUUUAUACAAAUUUGAUACAAGUUUGUUUCUUUUUUUCAUUCUUAUACUCUGAGCAAGACUUCUUCAGGGUACUGCUAUCUCUGGUCUCGGUGGUAGGGCGCUAUCUACGGAGCUACGCCCUUUCCUCGUGCCGCCGCGCCGCUCGCGUGUGAACCUGUACCCCCAAAAACAACACGGGGGUGAGAACUAUAUAAAUAUAGUUCCCAGUGGGUACGGCCACCCAAGGGAAGAGCUCGACCCACCAGGUCCAAAGGAGGCACUGUAAUAUGUUAGUCCAACAAAUAAUAAUCACAGAUAAUUCAUGCAGAUAUUAAAACAUGUAUGCCUCAAGAUAUGCAAUAUGCCAAUUAUGCAACAAUAUAAAAGUAGAUCUACUGAUCCUACUUUCUAUCUCGCUAUCCAUAGCUCAAAUCACACUAGCUUCUAAGGUUUUAUCUACCUUAAUCAAGCUAUUCACCCGACUCGGCCUCGAGUGAAUCAUCCGCGGAGUACCGCGUCAAGUCAGGCUCGAGGUGAAGGACAUCUCACAAGCACCUCAGCCUUAAGUCCACGCGACACUAGGUCCAUCACAGGGAGAGGAGAACCGUCGAUCCCCGUGAUCCUAAGUCGCUCAAGCUUAACGGGCGAGGAGAACCGUCAAACCCGUUGAGCUCAUACCGGGAGAGGAGAACCGUCGAUCCCGUUGAAUCACUACCGGGAGAGGAGAACCGUCGAUCCCGUAGUUCUGAUUCUAUUUAUGCCAACAGCACCAUUCCUAUGGAUUCCGAAAACCACUUUCACAACUUAAGGGUUUAUUCACUUACCCUAUGUUGACGACCUUCCUAGGUCUAUACCAUUCACUUUCUAGUGGUCCUACUACCACUAUAAUUCAUAACUUAGUUCAAUUUUACUAAGUGUCACUAUACAUCAUAACCUAGGUUCAUUUACACUAGGCUUUAUGUUCUUUUCACCUAGAUUUCGACUCUAGGUUUACUAAUUCAACCUAUGUUCAAUGACACUAGGUUCAUUUCAUGUCCAACCUACAUUUAAUAACACUAGGUUCAUUUCAUGUCCAACCUAUGUUUAAUAACACUAGGUUCAUUUCACUCGAUCUAUUUAUUAUCCUAGUUAUUCACGCCUAGGAUUAUAAUUUUCACAUUUUCAUUUACUUUGUCACCGUCAAGAUUUCUACUCAACUAGAGUUGUCGAUUUAUACCCAAUUCUUAUGGAUUUAACAUGUCCACAAUAUGUCAAUGUUCAUACAAGCUUUAGCCUUAACCAUAAUGUAUUCAUAUGCACCUAGCAUUCACUUUCAUAUAUGUCGAGUCAUAUGCAUCUAGCAUUCACAAUUCAUGCAUUCAUAUGUAUCUAGCAUGUUUAUCACAUGUCAAUAUUCAUUCAUCAUCCAAUAUGAUUAUCAAUAUAUUCGUAUGCAUGUUCCAAUGGUAAAUAACUUUACGUGAUUCAUGCUUUCAUCCUAUCAAUCAUAGUCUACACUAAACAUAUAUGCGUCAAUGAAAAUCAUUCAUUGCUUUGGCAUGGAAGCGACCUAAUCGCUUCGGUGAAGCACAACCCACCUUUACUUGACACCAUAAUGUGAGAAAUCCACUUCCCACACUUUCCCGAGAAUCGCAACCCGCGCUCCCGACAAUUGUAGCCGAAAAUGUCCUUUUUGGCGAUAUCUUCGCGUAGGCUCGACGGAUUGCCGAACCGACUUCGCCAACGCGUUCGUUUUACCCUCAAUUAGGUUUGUACGCGUUCAAUUCCACGUUAGCACUUUAAUCCUGCAAAAGUGUAUUAUCGAGCUUAGGUUCUACAUACAUUGUUUCCAUAUAAUUUCACAAAAUACAUAGAGUAAUUCAACUCAUUCCAUCUCUCUCUCUUUCUCAUUUUCUCUCUUUCAUUCCUUCUUAUUCUUUUCUUUCAUUUCUUUUCUUUUCCUCUCUUCUUUUUCUUUUUCUUUCCUACUUUCUUUCUUGCUUUCUUUCUCUCUUUCUUGCUGCCCCUACAGCAGCAACAAUUUGCUGCUACUGCUGGGCAACCUGCAGCAGCAAUCUGCUGCUGCUGCUGAGCUACUGCUGCAGCUGAGCUGCUAACUGCUGUUGCUGCUCCUGAGCUGCUGCUGCUGCUGCUGCUAAACUGCUGCUGCUGCUUCUACUACUGCUGCUGCUGCUGAGCUGAGCUGCUGCCGCUGAGCUGAGCUGCUGCUCCAGCAGCAGCUUGCUGCUGCUGCUACAGUACUCGCAGCAGCAACCUGCUACUGCUGCUACAACCAGCAGCAGCAGGGAGAGGGGUGAGAGGGAGAGAGAUAACAAGGAGAGGGAGAGAACUAGAAAUCCUACCUCUUUUUCUUCUUCUUCUUCUUCUUCUUCUUCUUCUUCUUUUCUCUUCUUUUCUCCUUCUCUCUCAACGUACAGGAGGAUGAAGAGAGGAUAAGCGUGGAGGAAAUUCCCUGGCAGGUUAGUGGAAAUCCACUAAGCAAUGUGAUAAUUACCAUAACACCCCUCACAAUAACCUUAAUUAAAUAUGUUUCCAAUUUAGAAUUUGAUACUUUUCGCCGGAACCCUCUGAAUAUCCGUUUGAGCUCAAAUUUGACAGUCAUGUUCGGUUUUACUUAACUCGAAGAAAGAAAUUUUCAUUUUUCAGUUUCGACCCUGUUUGGUCACCGAAAGCUCCACCGAACAACAUUUCUAACAGAUAGCAGUCGGAUUUUAUUUUUCACCUUCCAGCUGUCAGAAUGGUAUGAAACUUUAAAUCUAGCCUCCAAAAAAUAAUCCUGACAUAUCCUCCAGUUUUCAUAAUUUUCUGACACCGUGCAUUUUCUGCUAAAAUAUCAGCCCCGUUCUUUACAGAAAAUUCUAAAUCUUCUGUUUUCGCUCCGAUUUCAACACGAGUCAUUCCAGACUUAUAUUUUACACCCUUAAGUCCAAUAAAAAUAGUAUCUCACGCCAUUUUUAUUCACACUUAAUUUUAUAUUAUUUUGCUCACUUUAAUCAACAGGAACCUCAUAGUACGAUAAUUUUCCUUCGAAGUCGUUUCGCGCCCAAUUUGCGCCGAAAUACUCAUUUAUCUUCGGAAUUCAUUCCCACGCAUCCAAAAUCUCUCGAGGAAGAUACAAAACCAGCUCCAACCCCACUUUGAUUCAACAGAUCAAAGUUGACAUCGCAACUCCCAAAUUCCAUAUAUUACAAUCUCCCCCUGUUAACCAAAGUUUCGUCCGCGAAACUUAGAUACUUAUCUCUUCUUAUUUACCCUACGAAUGGAAAUAAGUUCCAACAAUCCUCAAUAUAGAAUCAUAUCAUUCCCUAGCUUCUGAAUUUCAUUCUAUGCUACCCUGAUUCCUCCGAAUCAGUCUCUACGAACACUUUGUUCGCGUUUCCAAUCUCAGCUCGUCAUCGAUGCUUAUCUUAGCAAUUCUGACUAAAUAAUCCACAGGACCGAGCCUUCGCUCUCACGGUCCCUAUACACUAUCCUUCACUUGGACAUGUUCGAAACACUCACUUCCAAUGCACACGGGUAAACUACUUGUCUCAAUUACCACAGAUCUGUUCGCAAAUCGCUGAUCCGAUGUAGGCCUAUCACUUAACGUCUCUCGCUCGCAAGCGUAGACCCAAUUAUCACGAGACACAGUUCUCACUUGAGAUAUCGCAUACCUGCUCCAACUGGGAGCAAUUUAAUUUGCUAGGGUUAGGUCAAAUCUGCCUUUCCGGCCUAGUACCAACAACACGAUCCAAUACAUGACCUACCACGUUACCGAUCCAAGCUCGGACUACCGUCCUGACCAAACCUCUGUCACACACGGCUAACUGCGCUUGCCGAAAUGGCUCCAGGCUCUGUAGAUCACAAGUGGUCCAGGCACGGAUUGUCUUCAAGCACUAUCCACAAUUGUCGUCUUACACGACGCGUGCUACCGAGCGACACACAACACUACCAGCUCCUAAGCACCUAGUGCGAGCGACCAGCCCUACGAGUGACCUCUAGCACGCUUCACACCUAGCAACGCUAAAGUGCUACUGCCAACACACUCACGGCUGAAUCAAAUCCGUACUCUACGAGCACCUAUGCGCUCGAGCGCUCUAUAUGUCUCUAUUGCGUGUCAUACUAAGCCCAGCAUCAGGCAACUUUUGCCUAUGCACACCGACUACACGAGCACGACCCACCUACCUCAAUUCGAGGUACUACUAGGUCCACGUGCACGUACCUGACCACUAACCGAUCAUUUCCUCAACAGUGAUUCUAUUUUUACUGUUCGAUCUACCGGAACAAUCUGCAAAACGCUCGGUCUCACAAGAGUUUCACGAACAUCGCGACUAGACUCUCGCAAUCAGCAACUCGCAUUAGUGUUGAGAGUUGGUCAACCAUUACCAUCUCUACCAUGAGUCUCACCUCUUAUCCACAGGCUAUCACCAGCGAUUUGCUAGAGCCCUCAGACUCUCUACCUGUUCCAGCAGGUAUUACAUUCCCCCACACAAGCAUACUCGGGUAUCAACACUUAUCUGUUCACUUGAUCACUACUAUAUUAAGGCAUAAAUAGUAGGGACAAUCACCUAAUCAAUGCAUGCAAUGCACCAAUUUACAUCAUAUUGAAAUACAUAAUUGCUUGAAUUAAUUCAUACCUGCCACAUUACGAUCAGUUGCAGCAGGAUCCUCAACCUGGUUCGCGUAUCCAUGGCCACUUGCCGCCAGCUGCGAACCCCGUGGUUGCCUUAUCCUCAUUCGCUUUCCAGACCGUGCCGCAGGUGGCACACCUGCAAGUUGUCUCGGAGAGGAAAAGGCCGUCGCCAGUAUCCUAUCACCUUGCGAACACUCAUAACCUAGGUGCUCCGAUUGUCCACAUCGAGUGCACUUUCCUUCUCGCUGCACGCAACGUCGUGCCCAAUGGGAACCGCCACAAAUCACACAUCUUGGAGAUGAUCGGGUAGAGGACGAUGUCGAGUGGCGUCCAGAACUUGACUGUUCAUCUUACUUAUUUGUUAAUGACCUAAUCCCUCCUUGCUUAUAUUCCUCAAACUCGUGCUCUUCACGCACGAAAACAUUGCCUUGCUCUAUCCAUAGGGCCCGAUCCAAGACUUCAGCAAAAGUUGGCAACUUAAGAUUAUGCACCGCUUUGAAAAUAUCAGGCCGAAGUCCUCGUACAAAACAAUCAGCUCGAUCCUUAUCACCUUGUACCACGUUCGGAACACAGCUCACGAUACGGGAAAAUUCCCGUUCGUAUUCUCUCACAGAGCGAUCUCUCUGCCGCAAUUUCUGAAACCUGUCUGGAAGCUUCCUCUUUUCACUAUCGGGGAAAUAAGUUGAACGUAUUAAUUCCCGAAACUCUUCCCAAAUCAUAGAAGGAAGACUAGGCGAUCGAUUCCGUUUGAUGUCUUUCCACCACACCUUCGCUGACCGUUGCAAACAAUGUACGGCUAAGUGUACCUUGUCCUGCUCCACAGUGUACAAAUCCUCAAACAAAGUCUCCAUGGAGUCGAUCCACAACUCUACGGUCCACGGGUCUAUAUCCUCUCCAUCAAAAGUAGGCGGAUCAAACUUCUUAAAGGUCAUUAGAGCCACCAAAGCACGCUCCCUCUCCGCCUCCACCUCUGAAGUACUAAAAGUCGGAUUGCCCGACCCAGACAGAAACACCUCCGCCGCAACUCCCGGCCGUACUCGACGGGCCGCAACUGGUGCAGUCACCAACUGAUCAACCGUCUCCUGAAGUCUUUUAAUCCGCUCUUCUUGGCGCAGAGCGGCGUCUUGCUGACGCUGCACUACAUCCGCUUGUUGCCUCACCACUCCCACGAGUGUGGCCAACUGAUCGCAAAGCUCCAAGUCUCCGCUCGCCUCGGUCUGCUCAGGGACACCAUUUGUCCCACCCCGCGCCGUUCUAGACGAAGAUCACCUACGCGGUGCCAUCUUUCCCUGAAACACGACAACUCAGUUAAUACCAACUCAAAUCGGGCGAAAGUCAUGCAAGGGCGUCUAUUCUCAUCACUCGGUUUCAUGUUGUGUCGACCCAACAUGAACUCACUUGGCUGAGAAUAAACUGAACCUUGAAUCUACCUCUAAUAUCCGUCUUAGAGGUUUACUAAACUUGACCCAAUCGAUUUAUCUUUCGCCACAUGUCACAAGUCCUCGUCUCUCACGAAUAUAAAUCCUUACGGUUUACUAUCCUAGGUCUCCUAGGUCCAUCUAAACCGUUUCUAUUACUCUUUUAUGCUCUGAUACCAUUAAAUCUGUCACGCCUCGAGCUCCGCCUAUUUGGUCGGAUUCGGCCACGCCGACAGACCGCCGAACGGACAGAGCUUUCCCUGUACGUUAUAGGCGUCACAAUCUAUACAAUGCAAUACAAGAGGUUCCAACCAGGAACUGUAUUCAAACACAGAUUGCAUAAGUAUCAAAAACAUAAAAUGCUAACUAUGCUAUUACAAGCAUUCAUCUCAAGAUUUUACAUUUACAAUAUUACAUAAGCCUUUAAAUUAUCACAAUUUAUACAAAUUUGAUACAAGUUUGUUUCUUUUUUUCAUUCUUAUACUCUGAGCUAGACUGCUUCAGGGUACUGCUAUCUCUGGUCUCGGUGGUAGGGCGCUAUCUACGGAGCUACGCCCUUUCUUCGCGCCGCCGCGCCGCUCGCGUGUGAACCUGUACCCCCAAAAACAACACGGGGGUGAGAACUAUAUAAAUAUAGUUCCCAGUGGGUACGGCCACCCAAGGAAAGAGCUCGACCCACCAAGUCCAAAGGAGGCAGUGUAACAUGUUAGUCCAACAAAUAAUAAUCACAGAUAAUUCAUGCAGAUAUUAAAACAUGUAUGCCUCAAGAUAUGCAAUAUGCCAAUUAUGCAACAAUAUAAAAGUAGAUCUACUGAUCCUACUUUCUAUCUCGCUAUCCAUAGCUCAAAUCACACUAGCUUCUAAGGUUUUAUCUACCUUAAUCAAGCUAUUCACCCGACUCGGCCUCGAGUGAAUCAUCCGCGGAGUACCGCGUCAAGUCAGGCUCGAGGUGAAGGACAUCUCACAAGCACCUCAGCCUUAAGUCCACGCGACACUAGGUCCAUCACAGGGAGAGGAGAACCGUCGAUCCCCGUGAUCCUAAGUCGCUCAAGCUUAACGGGCGAGGAGAACCGUCAAACCCGUUGAGCUCAUACCGGGAGAGGAGAACCGUCGAUCCCGUUGAAUCACUACCGGGAGAGGAGAACCGUCGAUCCCGUAGUUCUGAUUCUAUUUAUGCCAACAGCACCAUUCCUAUGGAUUCCGAAAACCACUUUCACAACUUAAGGGUUUAUUCACUUACCCUAUGUUGACGACCUUCCUAGGUCUAUACCAUUCACUUUCUAGUGGUCCUACUACCACUAUAAUUCAUAACUUAGUUCAAUUUUACUAAGUGUCACUAUACAUCAUAACCUAGGUUCAUUUACACUAGGCUUUAUGUUCUUUUCACCUAGAUUUCGACUCUAGGUUUACUAAUUCAACCUAUGUUCAAUGACACUAGGUUCAUUUCAUGUCCAACCUACAUUUAAUAACACUAGGUUCAUUUCAUGUCCAACCUAUGUUUAAUAACACUAGGUUCAUUUCACUCGAUCUAUUUAUUAUCCUAGUUAUUCACGCCUAGGAUUAUAAUUUUCACAUUUUCAUUUACUUUGUCACCGUCAAGAUUUCUACUCAACUAGAGUUGUCGAUUUAUACCCAAUUCUUAUGGAUUUAACAUGUCCACAAUAUGUCAAUGUUCAUACAAGCUUUAGCCUUAACCAUAAUGUAUUCAUAUGCACCUAGCAUUCACUUUCAUAUAUGUCGAGUCAUAUGCAUCUAGCAUUCACAAUUCAUGCAUUCAUAUGUAUCUAGCAUGUUUAUCACAUGUCAAUAUUCAUUCAUCAUCCAAUAUGAUUAUCAAUAUAUUCGUAUGCAUGUUCCAAUGGUAAAUAACUUUACGUGAUUCAUGCUUUCAUCCUAUCAAUCAUAGUCUACACUAAACAUAUAUGCGUCAAUGAAAAUCAUUCAUUGCUUUGGCAUGGAAGCGACCUAAUCGCUUCGGUGAAGCACAACCCACCUUUACUUGACACCAUAAUGUGAGAAAUCCACUUCCCACACUUUCCCGAGAAUCGCAACCCGCGCUCCCGACAAUUGUAGCCGAAAAUGUCCUUUUUGGCGAUAUCUUCGCGUAGGCUCGACGGAUUGCCGAACCGACUUCGCCAACGCGUUCGUUUUACCCUCAAUUAGGUUUGUACGCGUUCAAUUCCACGUUAGCACUUUAAUCCUGCAAAAGUGUAUUAUCGAGCUUAGGUUCUACAUACAUUGUUUCCAUAUAAUUUCACAAAAUACAUAGAGUAAUUCAACUCAUUCCAUCUCUCUCUCUUUCUCAUUUUCUCUCUUUCAUUCCUUCUUAUUCUUUUCUUUCAUUUCUUUUCUUUUCCUCUCUUCUUUUUCUUUUUCUUUCCUUCUUUCUUUCUUGCUUUCUUUCUCUCUUUCUUGCUGCCCCUGCAGCAGCAACAAUUUGUUGCUGCUGCCGCUGAGCUGCUAACUACUGCUGCUGCUGGUGAGCUGCUGCUGCUGCUGCUGCUGCUAAACUGCUGCUGCUGUUUCUGCUACUGCUGCUGCUGCUGAGCUGAGCUGCUGUCGCUGAGCUGAGCUGCUGCCGCUGAACUGCUGCUGCUGCUCCAGCAGUAGUGUAGCACACUGGACCUUUGCAAAUUGCGAGGUUCGAGUGUUCAAUUUGUAUUCCGAAUUUUUCCACACUUGGUGGAGGGCCGUCGAUGGUAUACCGGCCUAAAAGUUCGAUCUCGAGAGUUUUCGCUGAGUCCUGAGAGUUUUACUCUCGGAGACCGGUCCCUGAUAGGAGAGACCGGUCCCCUAGUGAACAGUGCUGCGUAGCCGGCGAGGCAACUGGUCCCUAGCAGUCGAGACCGGUCCCCGAGCGUGUCUGCGGGGGGAGAGACCGGUCCCGCGCAGGGAGAGACCGGUUCCCGAACGUUGGAUUUUCGGGGGNNNNNNNNNNNNNNNNNNNNNNNNNNNNNNNNNNNNNNNNNNNNNNNNNNNNNNNNNNNNNNNNNNNNNNNNNNNNNNNNNNNNNNNNNNNNNNNNNNNNUUGUGCUCACAAUCAUGCAAUAUCAGACAUUUCAUCAUCUACUUUCCCUAAAAAUGCAUUGCCAACAAUAUAUAAACAAUGCUUCAAAGAAUGACACAUUAGGCAAUAGAGAGAAUUUCAAUGAGUUUGAGAAGCACCACCACACCUUGUAAGGUCUCUUUAGGUGCUCCGACGAUUUUCUCGGGUUUUUAGAUCCUUAGUUCUUUACCUGCGGCAAAACGAAGCCAACUUAGGCCAUUUUGCCAUAACUUUUUCAUGCUUUUCGUAAACGUUAAUCCUGAGCGACCAACCGUCAGAAAUACCCCCAAUUUAGUUUUUAGAGGGUCAAUUGCACUUAGAAACCUUCAUGAGCAAAAGCCCCAAUUUGGGUGCCCUAGCUCCAAUGUACAUCAAAACACUAGGGUUUGAUCUCUUUGAGAAGCAAAAGUAGCUUCACUAUACUCUAAAUAGUCCACUAGAACCAUUCUUAGGCUUUCAAAACCCUAGAUUAGAUUUCACCAUUAGAGGUGCGGGUGAAGCCUCACCUUGAGCUCAACCAUGGUUUUGAUCUCUAAAGAAGCAAAAGAAGCUUCAAAACUCUCUAAACAUUUCACUAAAUCAUUCUAGGUCACUCAAACCCAUUUUAGGGCUCUAUUUCCUAAGAUUAGGGUUCAAAGCUUACCUUGCAAGCUCUUCCUUCUUGCACUAGAGAGGAAGAGAUGAAGCCCCUUUUGCUCUUUGGUCUUCUUCUUCACUUUCUUUCUCUUUUUUCCUCUUUUCUUCCUUUCUCCUUUUCUCUUUUUCUUCUAGAGAGAGAGCAGAGGAGAGAGAGUGUGAGAGGGUGAGGAAAUGAGAGAAAUAUCUCAUUUGCGCUCAUACAUAGGUAUUUAGGUUGCCAAAAUGCAAUAAAACCCCUCAACUUUCGCUUUAAUACGCUGCCGAACUUGGACUGACUGUCGCGCAGGCAGGCGGGACCGGUCUUUCCUUCAGGGACCGGUUCCCCGAACGUUGUCCAGCGCAGCCAGAGCUGCUGCGGCAGUGCAACCGGUCUUUCCUUGGGGGGACGGUCUCUGGGGACCGGUCUCUCAGACAGAGACCGGUUCCGAGAGCUGACCUUCCAGGGGCUUAGCCAAUUUUUUGGCUGUCUCAUUUCAUACGCGUUCGGGGAACGGGUCUCUCCCACCAGGGACCAGUCCCGAGAGCUGAAAAUCUACAGCUUCGCAGAAUUUGAUUCUUUAGCUCUCCGAAAACCUUUCCACAACUCACUUUGAUCAUUUUACACCUUCGGACUUUCCGAAGUGUUCCAUCCUCGCACUUUGGUCAAUUUGACUAAAGUUCGACAUUUUUAUUUUCCGAAUUUCGGUAUAUUACAUGGAGAUGGUGGUUCUUGAUGAUGAUGCAAUGAUGAUGCACUUAGCUUAGUUAUUUUUAGUCUUGAUGAUGAUGUCUUGAUCUUGAUAAUGAUGUAUUUAGCUUUGAUGCAGCAUUUUGUUUAGUGAACUUUAGAUGAACUUUGUUUAGUUAGUGCUUUAGGUGUUUGAUUAUGAACUAUGAUUGAUGCUUUGUUUGACUUUGAUACUUGAAUCUUGAUUAUGUUUUGAGAAUGUUUUUGCAGGAAUAAAUUCAAGACUUCAAGACUCCAUGUCUAAAGUCAUAGAGUUUGUAUUAAGAUUAUGAAAAUUGUAAUUUCGUUUAUUAUGGUCGAUCAUGCAGGAUUAUCGAUUUGGUGCAUUGCGAUGAUCUUUUUUUAUUAUUUUUGUGUUGUGUACGAGUUAUUAGUAUAUUUUGUCGACGAAAUCGCCAAAGGGGGAGAUUGUUAAGGAUUUUAUUAGGUUGGCGAAUUUCGUAAAGUUGCGUUGGAGGUCUUGAAGAGUUGAUAGCGAGAAAGUUUUUGACGAAAAGAUUCAAAUUGAGAAAAUAAGAUUAUUUCGAAAGCUCGAUACCCAGGUAUAAAGGAAAGAUCAUUUGUGGUGAAUAUACCUAAUUAGACUAAGUUCAGAAGGCUUAGAUUACUUCAAAAAUUCUUUACUGAACUUUUCUGAGUGUCUGGAACGCGGUCCCUGAGGUCAAGAGACCGUUCCCCUAAGGUCCUCACUGCUUGAACCUUGAUGCACACACGCGGUCCCUGUGAUGAGAGACCGGUUCCCGAACAUGGUUGUUUGAUCGCGCAGCGAGGGAGCGGGACGGUCUCAAGCUUGAGAGACCGGAUUCCGAACGUUGGGAUUUUUGUCACGCAGUGAGGGACGGUUCCUCACUUGAGAGACCGGUCUCUCACAGACCGGUCUCUCGAGAAGAACGGUCUCUGAGGACGACCAGAGUUUUAAAAAAGGACUUUUUGCAAUCUAAUCUACUUCUAAGUCUUCUAAACAUAUAAAAUAGACUAUGUGGGUCAUCAAAAAGUUCAAGGCUCUGAAUAUUUCACAUAUUCUAAACCCUAAGAACUUGUUUUUCCGUUUCAUGUUUCGAUUCACAUAACCAGUUUUUACAAUCAACAAUCGCUUGAUUCUUCGUUUUUACUCGAUAAUCAUACGAGAAUCAAGUAGAUGUUUGAUUAAAGGUGAACCCUAAUAGCUUAGGUAUUAAAAGGUCAAAUCAUCCACACAUCUUCGAUUCUACAAGCUCCGGAAGGAGGUUCGCGCGCUUGGAUCUCGCGUGAAGCCGAGGAUUCGGUGGUACGCUUCAAGGAAUUGAGGCGUUGACGCUGCGAGGAGUUGCAGCAAGGUCGAUUGGUGGAUUCUUUAUCGAAUCAGAGGACUGGAUAAGAUCAUCAACUAGCGGAAAUUGGUAAAUGAGUGUGAUGUUUUGGUCAAAAUCACUGUUAUCGUGUUUUCUUAUGGAUUUCUCUGCGUGAUUGGUCCGGUGGUGUUUUCACUCCGAUUUGGAGUUUUCCCACGUUAAAUUCUCGGUGUGCCUUUUAUUUUCCGCUAUUUGUUUUAUUUGCAUCUAGAUUUUUCGAGUUUGCCGUUUUUAACACCUAUUCACCCCUCUAGGUGUUAUUUACCUUUUAGGAUUCCUCGGGAUCCAUAUUUACAUAUAGACCACCAUUUUUGUAUAUUUAUUACCUUGUGUAUAGAUAUCUGUGAUUGUAUUUUACCUUAUGGAUUGUGCUAAAUGUUUAGCUCUUUAUUAUUACUUGUCAGUAGAAUUUAGUUGUGGUAUGCUCUGAUAUCCCUAGAUGCUGGUUUAAUUUGCUUUAUUUAUCACUUUAUUGUAGACGGCUUAUAUGUUGUAGGCAUAUGGGCGGGUCUGGACACGCACCAGAGCGGGCUUCCGCUCGGGUCUCGGGGUAUGACAGAGCGUCUGGAUCACACAACAAGGUGAGCACCGUGUAGAGGAUUCUGACGAUCAUUAUAUUUCAAAGAAACCUGAGUUAUCUAACACCGAAUUGACUUGCCGAAAAAGCAAAAGAAGAAAAUUGUCAAAUAAAUCGAACAUGAGCACUAUGUAAACGGCAGAUUCAAGGCAUCGUUACCUGAAACACAGGGGAGACGAACUAGCACCUACGCCUAGAGUGUAUCCGUGCUCACAAGCGGAUAGUCAUCGGAGGCGCCGGAUUGCCGGGACAGCGCUUCGGCAAGAUCAUGGCCUACAAGUCAAGUAGGGGUAGCAGCAAGGAAAUAGCAUCAACCAGGGUUAGCAAGCCAGAGGGAGGGUUGGGAGAACUAUGAUGGGGACACUAACCAGCAGGGGGAGGCCGUCGGAGGUUCGGCGGAUGGCGGUGGCGCUUCAAGCCACGCUGCGCUAGACAGCAGCGACCCAGAUUAGGCGGUGCAGGCAACAGUGGCUGCAACCGAGAGAAAGAGAGGAGAGGUUUGACCACUAUAUAUUAUAUAUAUUAUACAGAGAGAAGAGAAGAUGAUUUAAUCUCUCUUUUUCCUUGCCAGAGGCUGGCCGGAGUACGAUGCGGCACAGGGGAAAGGUGGCGACUCUUGUCAGGAUGAAGGAAGAGGGAGGGGGUGGUGUACUGGCUAGGGUAGGGCUAAUCCCCAAUAAACACCACACCACAUACACACACACACACACACACACACACGUAUAUAUAUAUAUAUUAUAUUAAUAUAUAUAUAUUACUAUAUAUAUAGUAUUAGAGAGAGAGAGAGAGAGAGAGAGAGAGAGAGUCCGGCUAGAAUACAAUCGAUAGCACCAAGGACUUGGUGCUAUCAAGUUUUUCACUGUUAGAUUUAACUAUUUGAUUAUUUUUAUCCGUUAGAUUAUACUAUUCAACCAACCACCCGCUCAACCCUAAGGGGCCCACAUCAUCCUAACCGCACAUUUUUCAAUCCAGGGGCUAAAAAUCUACUAGCACCAAUAGCUUGGUGCUAUUGAUAGUUGUAACACACUGAACUUUAGCAAAUUGCAAGAUUCGAGUGUUUGAUCUGUGCUCGGAGCUUUUCCAGGUUUUCUGGAGAGUCGUUGACAGUGUUCUUACUUGUGACUCGUAUCCCGAGGAACAAGAGUGAAAACUUAGCACCAAAAUCUCAAAAUUUCAUAUUUUGGACUGCUCUUGGGUUGGAUUCUACGAGGCUGCGUACCAGUACUGCAUUGGCCGAAUACCGGUACUGGACCUGGUACCAGUACUACAUCGUGCUGGUAUCGGUACCCAGUGUAUUUUUCUGCUUUGCCGAAGCUCGGGUUUGGCAGCUUUGUGACCUGGUACCGGUACUCUUUCCCGUGUCACCGGUACGCAGUGCUGCGUGCAAACUGCAGAUUUUUUAGGGUUCUUUUUGGAAUUAUAGCAACUCUUUAUAUAACCCCACACCCUCUCUAGGGUUCUUUUAUGCUACAGCCAGAGGUGAAGGGAGGUAAGUUCUCGUCCAUCGCUCUCUAGUUUUCUCCCAUUUCUUGUGGGAUUUCAUGGGUUUGAUCUCUCUUUUCCUCUCCCAUUUGCAUGUUGUUUGCUUUCCACCCUAAAGAAGCUUGGUCAUUGAGGGAUCGAGCUUUGUUUGUGGAUAGAUCUCCAACCCUAGCACCUUCUAGCUUGGCUUGGAGUUUGUGAAGAAGGUUAGUAACCUCUCUAUUACAUUUUGUUGUAGUUUAUGCUUGGAUUUUGGAUGAAAACCUAGUUUUGGAAAAACUAGGGUUUAUUUUGGGGGUUCUUUAUUUGUAGCCUUUUGGGCUAAAUUGAUAGGUGUAGAACCUUUUUCAAGGUUGGAUUUCAAGCUUUCUAGCUUCGCUUUGGGCUUUGAUCAAGUUCUUCUUGACCCUAGGGUGCUAGGAGCUUGGGGGACAACUUCGUUCGAAGGAACGAAAGGGUUCGAAGUGAUUCCGGUGGGUUUGACCUCACCGAAAUGGGUGAACUCCCCCUAUGUCUUCCUUAUGGUUUUAAGACAUAUUUAGAUACUUAUUCAUACUUAAUAUGACAUGUUAGAAUUUAUAAAAACAUAAUAUGCAAAUGUUGUGUAUAGCGAAAAUUUAUGCUCUAUGUAGUAGAGGCAUACAUGUAGAUUUUGGGCACUAAAUGACACUACUUGAUGUUUCUCUCUUAUGCAACCAUGGAAAGCAUGUUAGAGUAUGAAUGAUGUUAUAACUCGUUGGGGGGUACCUAGCGAAUGGGUUAAGUAGUUAACUUGCAUGAUGACAAUAGUACACUUGUUAUAGAUAAGGUGAUUGGAACUUGGCAUUACUUGCAUGAUGACAUUAUAUUUGUUGUAGACAAGAUAAUUGUGACAUUAAGAUAUAGUGCAUGAUAAGGUCACCUUAAAGCUAAGCUUGGUGCACUUAACCUAGUUGAACAACUAGAAAUGGACAUGUGACAUUGUGACUUGGUACACUUAACAUAGUUAAUUCACUAGUAUUGGCCAUUGUGACAUUAUAUUCGAUCUUGGGAUCGAUAGCUAUAUUCCAUGUUUUAGACAUGAGGAAAAGUGGAUUUUAAGCCCUAGGGGCGAACCCUAGUUGUCACGCCCCGGGACCGGCGGAGGCCCUCCCGGUAGCGUGCCCAAACCCGUCAUAUGUCUACACAUAUAAGGCGUCUACAACAACAGCGGAAAUAAAGCAAGAGAUAGAACAAAAAGGGGUAAAAGACAACUAAUGAUAUCAGAGCGGGUAAAGUUCUAUCAUCUAUAACCAAAGUAAAGGAAACAUAACAAAAAACAGUAAAAGAAAGACAUAAAGUAGUACAAUAUCUGUCUCUAGUACAAAAAUGGUGGUUUCUAAACAUAUACGGGUACAACUCUCGACCUCUCGCAAAAAAAAGUAACGAGAGGUAGACCACCUAUCAAAUCGUCCUCGAAGGAAGCUAGCUCGAAACAACUCCCUUCCCGCGGUCCCUAGCCUCUCCCGGCGUGGAACGCUCUGAACAACAUCGAGAGAAAGAGAGCGUGAGAACUAUAAUUUAUAGUUCCCAGUGGGCAAUUACUAACCUCAGCACAAGCUCCACUAGGCCCCAAAAGAGAAGGGUAAGUAACGACAAUAAUAAUAGGCAAUAAAGAGCGAGUAUAAGAACUGCUUAAAGAAAGUAUAAAUGAAAUGCUAUACCACUAGGUCUCAAGUAAGCAUGAUGUCAAAGUAUAGAACAUCUACUCAAUCAGGAUAAGUAUGUCCAAAGCAUGACUAUUGAGUUCCAACCAUAACCGACAAAUAAGCAUCUCGAUGCAGCAUGUCAAUACACAGGGAAUAAGCCCUAUCAAGCAACCAAGUAUACUACAAUGCAAUAAAUGAAACAAGCAAGUAUACCAAAUGUCCCAAAGCUAUGUCAUGAGCAUGUCAAAGUAAUCCAACUACUAAGCCUAUCUAGUAGUGAUCAUUCAUUCUCAACACUGUGUCGAUUUCCAUUUCCAAUUAAGGACUUACCAAAGGUAGUCCAGUUUGUGCCACCUAAGUGCCUGUGGUAGCCCAACAUUCCUACUCUUGGAAUAUAUCUGUCCCACUCGACCCCGUAGGCUUCUCAAUACCGUACGAGCGAACAUAGGUCGCGUAGGCUAACUCUGGAGUGCCGGCUUGUAGGGAACGACCCUAACAAGCAUGUGCGAAUGAGCACAAAUGGCAAGCAAGCGUAGUCCAAGUCUCAAGUAUCCAAUCCUCAUGUCUCUAACAUGGUAUAGUCACUAGCAUCUCGAAGAUCUAGUUCUAUGUCACAAAGUGAAGUUCCAAUGUUCUCUAGGUCUAGUGCCCCUUUAUGACACUUAGACAUUCAAUAUUUAAGCAUGUUCCACAUUCCUCAAUGGCCCUAUCCACUAGGUUCACACAUGUCCCGAGCUCAAUGCCGCUAGAUGACAUUAGCUCUCUAAUUCACAUAAUGUUCUAGUCCGGUGCCCCUAUAUGGCAAUUUUGUUAUCUUUCAUGUCUCAAUUAAACUUAGGUUUAAAUGCAUGAAUCAAAGCUCAAUGUCACAACAGAAAUCAUGAUACCAAGUCUCCACAGGAUACCAAAACAUGUACAAGUUCCAUAUGCUGAUUCUCUACUAUAUAGAGGUUCGAAAUUUCAUCAUACAUAACAUAGGUAUGUUAAGCAUCCUAAAAUUCACAAUAAAUUUAUCUAGUAUGGAAAUGCAUGAAUAAUCACUUAACGAAGCAUAAACCACAAGUUAUGAGAAUUUCUCAUAAUAUAGGCUAGGUCAAACCCACCAAUAUCGCAAUCUUCGUUUCGCCGAACGGAGGUAUCCACUAGCUUCCUAGCACCCUAGGAACAUCAAAAAUGGGGUUACCCAAACGAAACGAAGAGCGAAAAGCUCAAUCAUUAACCUAGAAGCAAGAAAGGCCAAAACUCACCUCAAGAGAAGAAAUCUCUUCCAAAGCUCCAAAAGAGAGCUAGAACCCUUCCAAUCUAGCCCAAAGGAAGGUUCUAAUCCAACUAAUUGAGCUCCGAAAGCUCUAAAACAAAAAUGCCCAAAAUAAACCAUAAAACCUCACUUUAGGGUUUCAUCUUAAAGAAACCUCCAAAAUUCAUAUAUAGAGGAAAGGAUCUUGUCACUUACCUCUUAGAAGCUCCAAUCCAAGCUCAAAGUCUUCAAACUUCAAGGAUCUUCCCUCCACCAAGCUUCAAAUCCAAGUUCCAAGCUCCAACAAUGGUGGAAAUAGCUCCAAUAGGAAAAAAGAGAGGGAAAUCCAUCAAAAUCCAAGAAAUUGGAGAUCAAAUCCAAAGAGGGAAAAAGAGGGGCUCCCUACCUUGCUCCUCCACUGUUUUCAGCUCAGGGAGAGGCCCCAAGGGCGUGGGGACACAUAUAAAAGCCCACAAUUACAAAAACACCCCUGCAGUUCAAACUGCACGAAAUCAGCCUCCUUGUACCGGUACACGGGCCCCUGUACCGGUACAAGACCCACGAAAAUCCCAACCCGAGGCUCGGGUUGCGGGGUUCAGCGGCUCUGUACCGGUACAAGCCCGGUGGCUGUACCGGUACAACCAUCAACCUUGUACUAGUACAACCAUCAGCCUUGUACCGGUACAAGCCCUGCUGAAGGCUACCCGAGAGCUGACCAAAAAUUCGAUUUUUCGGGUUUUGGUGCCAAACUUUAAAUCUCAAUUCUCGAAAUGCGUGCCAUAGGUCGGGACACAGUCAACGACCUACCAGAAAAUCUGGGAAAGCUCAGAACACAGCCAAUCACUCGAACCUCGCAAUUUGCAAAGGUCCAGUGUGUUACACUAGUAGAGAUGAUUGCAUGCAAUACUAGUGGAAUUAAUUAUGUGCAUUAUAAUACUUUUACUCCAUAUAGUGGGGAUGUUAGUAGAAAGAUAUAUGCAUGACAUGCAUUGUGGUACUUGUGGUCAUAACAUAAUCCAUUUGCAUAUGGUAUUAGUAAAUGCUUCUCUUGACAAUUGUUGUAUUUGCAUGUUAAGAACCUAGUUGGAGACUUGAUUGAAAUAGGAAACUAUCUUAAAUAGGAUAAUGACAAGUGCUAUGUAGUUAUGAACUAGUGACUUAUACUUGACAUAGUAACAUGAACGUCAUGUAGUGACAUUUGGAUUAGUAAAUGACUAAACCCUCACAAUGGGAUACCUUAUUGGACCUUUGGGUCGUUGGUACUUAUUCGAUAUUUUAGACAUGAUGACCGAGAGCUGAAUACUAUUGAUCAUACUUGCUUGCCAUUGUGCUCAUUCGCACAUGCUUGUGAGGGUCGCUCCCAACAAGCCGGCACUCCGGAGAUAGCCAACGCCACACAAGCUCGCCCGUGCGGGAUUGGGGGCCGAAAUGGGAUGCCGUGGGGAAGGCUCAUUCCUAGAGUAGGAAUGUUGACUACUACGGGGCCAUUUUUGGCACGGCGCAAGCUGGACUACACACGUGUAGAUCCAUGACGAGAAUUGAACUAUGAUACUUAAAGUAUAAUGUGGAAACUACUACUAGAGAGUGCAUCCUAGUUGGGUUAGUAGACCUGCAGGAUAGUGCAUAUUGUGGACUUUAUGUUAGUUAUUCUUAGCAUUGACAAUCUAGUGGUAGUAUAUCAUACCUAUAUUGAUUGGCAUAUUGUAUGGUUAGAAUAGUAAAGGAAAGCAUAAUCACUCAUUGUAGCAUUAUGGACACCAUGAACAUGCAUGUAAACUAAUAUUGGCAUAUAGUUGGUUGUACAUGUAAACGGAUAUUGGCAUAUAAUGGGAUAAAUGAAACUAGAACAUCAUUUAUAUGAUAGCUAAUUCUUUAGUAGAGGUAUGACUAUGAUAUGAACAUGUUUAAAUUACUUGCUUUUCAUAUAUUGCUUAAUUAUACCCUUAUAGCAUGCCUCAGUUGACCUAGUGGUGUAUUUCACCACUCUCGGCGGCUUACCCACUGGGAACUAUUGUUUAAUAGUUCUCACCCCCAUUUAUUGUCAGUUUUUAUUGCAGAGCCUUACGCGGCGGGAGAGGCUAGGGAUGGUGGAAAGGGCUUAGCAACUAGCUAGAGCCUCUACGGAGAAACUAUAGUUGGGCCCGAUGUCAUCUUUCCUUUUGUACCUAUGGAAAAGAUGUAUUACGUAUUUGAUUUAGAGUUGUUGUUGGACACUUAGAUUUAGUUGUAUAUAUUUGUAUAUUUUGUGGAUCUCUUUGUGAUAUAACGUUAGUGAUUUUGUAUUACUUGCUCUGAUAGCCCUGUUAGGACCUUACUUGUUCACUCUUGUUUUAGUAGACGCCUUGUGUGCAUCGUGGUUGUUUGGUGUACGUGGCGGGUAUCACGCCCCGCAACCGCCAGUUUGGUCGGUUCGGGCACGUCAGGCAGACGCCGAAUGUACAGCACUUUCCCUGUCCGCCCAAGGCUCAACAACAGAGUCAUGUACAUUUUUGUCGCCCAAGAUGACAUCCAACAUACAUGAAGCACCACAAGUGCAAUACAAGCAAGAGCAAGAAUCACAAAUACACAUACAAGUGAACAAGAGAGAGAUAGUUCUAGCUAUUACAACUUUCAUUCAACAUUCAUAUUUUAUUACAUUUACAUCUCCCAAAAUGAAUACAUGAGUUUUAAAACUUCACCUCAUCGUACAUGAUAGCUCUCCAAAAUACAUCAUCUAAUAACCAUGUACACGAGGGUACUCUAAUGCAAAAUGGAAAAGCUACUAGCUACUAGGAACGUCUACAUAGUAUUGAAAUCAGCUAUCAAACUACUAUGCCCAAGAAAUUAUGUCAUUCAUAAGUUCACCCAAUCACUUGGCUAACCUGAAGGUUCGCCCACGACUCACAGUGCAAUCCCACAGGUAAGGAGACCCUCCCGCUCGCAAACCCGAGACCGUCUGCUGGACAGGUACGUUAAUCCAUCACGUGAUGACUCCGGAGCUCACUGCUUGUGUGGAGGACCACCCCAAGCGAAUACAGACUAUGUGAGUAUGAUCCAAUUCUCGCCAACUGAGGAUACCCUACCACCUAGGGUUAAUCAACAACACGGGAAUUCGACUAUCCCUAAGGUUCAUGUUAAGUGUUCCAACUACACUAAGUCCACAUGCAACAUGUCAUAACUUGGGAAAUUCAUCUAUCCCUAAUGUUUCAAGUUCAAGUGUUUCAUCUACACUAUAUUCAUCAUGCCACUCGUCAUCUAUGUCAUUUACAUUGUUUAAAUGCCACUCGUUAUAUCCUCGGAUACAAACACUAAGUUCAUCACUUGUUUAGCAUUAUAGGAUAUCAAUUGUCAAGACCCAAUCCCUUGCGUAUCCAUUACAUCAUGUGCUCAUCUCACAUUAUGUCAUCAACUAGGAAAACAAGUAAGGAAUUGAAUUGCAAUAAGCUACAAUCCUACUAUGCAUUACAACAUGGACAUGCAAGGUCACAAUGCUAUCUUCGACAUAGAAGGGAGUUCAGUUGCUUCGGGUGACACCCCCCACCUUUAAAUGAUGUGACGACGCUAAGAAUCCGGUUUCAUAAUUUUUGGAUGCCGUUUCGGACCUCCAGGCGGAAACGAAGCCAAAAACGCCCUUUUCGCCAAUAUCCUCGCAUAGGGUCGUCGGAUUGCCGAACCGACUUCGCCAACGUGUUAGAAUACCUAGCAAUUAGGUUUGUAUGGGCUCAAUUUAGAUCAAAACACCCCAUUAGCAAAAACCCUCUUUUGGAUGCCCUAGAAUCUCAUUAUUGCAAAAUGCUACCGCUAGCUCAUUACUCAUGCAAUAAAUGAGUUCAACUACAUCUAGAGAUCCAUUAAAUUCCAUUCCUAGGGUUUAUAAACACAUCCCUAGCAAUCUACUGUCACACCCCGGAGCCGCCAAUUUGGUCGGUUCGGGCACGCGAACAGACGCCGAACGGACAGCACCUCCCCUAUCUGCCCAAGGCUCCAACAUCAUGUAUAAUACAAGCAAUUCAUAUAAACGAUUGCAAUUAUAUAAGGUUUGCACGAGGGCAAACAACAACUAAUUCACAUGUGAAAGCAUCGAAACUAACUAAACAUUUAUCCACAUACAUGCCAUUUGAUUACAUUUGAAUCAAACACAAGUAAACCAUUAUUUACAUUCAUUCUUUCCAUUCAUUUACAUUUACAUCAUAUUAGCUAUCAUCCAAAAUACAUGAAUUACAUCAUUUAACAUUUCUAGUUCAACAUACAAAAGUUGAAUAUAUAUAGGGAAUGCCUAUACUCCGAGGGCCGCUAUAUACGGUGCUAGCCCCUUGCCUCGAUCCUCCGCCGCCCUGCUCGCGCAUGGAUCUGCAGGGUUAGUGGUGGUGUGAGAACUAAAACGAAGUUCCCAGUGGGUUCGGCCGCCGACCGCGCCGACUCGCCCACUAGAUCUAUUCAGACAUAUGUAUUUCAAGAAAGUAGAUAACAAACCAACUAAUGCACUACUAAUACAAUGCCUGCAAGAAAGCUGUCAGCAGAUAGAUAGAUAAUCCAAUACAUGAUAAUUAUGCAUGCAUGUUCAUGUCUCAUUCUCUUUGGCCUUUACCCAAUCAUCCCGGGGUACUCUGGUUCACCCCAAAAUCACAAACCACAAUUCCUGUCUAUUGGGGGAGGCUACUAGCACUACCACCCAAGGGAACGAUGACGGGGUCUCUCCCCGUGCUGUCUACACUCCGGAGUACACCGCUUGAGAAGGAGCUACCUCCCUCAAGCCAAGCUAGUGUGAGUGUGAUCCAAUCCUCAAUUUGAGGACGUAGCCAAACCUGUCUCAAUGCACAAAGCCUCAAUGCCGAUAUAGGUUAUUACCAUAUCACCUUUCUACUAUACCUGAGCCACAAUGGUCCUGAUGCCAUUCUAGAUUAAACCUUGUUUAGCCGUUCUUAUUCUCGGUGCCAAUCUCGUCACUAAUGUCAAUGUCACCAUUGUUUACUAUUGUCAUAGUCUCUUUUUCAUACAUUCACAUACACAUAGGGUUUUUCACAUUCAUAGUUCACAUGGUUCUAUAUCAAUUCAUAUGUUCUCUAGCACACAAUUGAAUCUCAACCAAUCAUAUUCAUCACACUACCCUAUAUGCAUGAAUGCUAACAUCAAUAUGCUCAAUAAUGGUAACAUAGACAUAGAAGAAAAUUCGGUGUUUCCGGAUAGCACCCCCCACCUGUGGGUAUGCUAGGAUCCGUGGUCCUAUUUUCAUGAUUUUUAGACCUCUACGUCGCAAGCUUCGACGAUCUGUACCAAUUUAGCCUGUUUCCUCAAUAUCUCUGCGUACGCUCGUCGUAUGGCCGAACCAAGCGCACCAAUGCGUUCGUUGACCUACCAAUUAGGUUAAAAUGAGAUCAAACCCAAGCUUUGACCUCAAAAUUCAAAAACCCCAAUUUUGGGUCACUCAACAAUGUCAUCUUCCCCAAACUAGGUCCUUAUACAUGAGAAACAUGGAGAAAAUCACCAUAAGAGCUCCUAGAUGCAAAUACUAGAAGCAAAUACCAAUACCCUAACUCAAAAUCAUGGAAACUCACUUUAGAGUCCCAAGCUUUCCGUCAAAAGCUCGUCACAAACUAGCCUUCACCUUGGAGAGCUUCUUCUCCAAGCUUUGCUCCUCCAAAUCCCUCCCUUGAUCCAAGCUCUAGAGAGAAGGAGAGAGAGAGAGAGGGUUUUUACAGAGAGAGAUGGAGAUAUUUUUGUGUUAGGGUUGAGGUAUGAGGGCUACAACACAAGCCUCCCUCACAUAUCACACCCACACAUACACUUUUGCACAUAAACCCCUCACAUUUCCACUUUUUUACAUCAGCCCAAAUUAGGCAAAAUUCGCAUACAGGGACCGGUCUCUCCCCGCAAGGACCGGUCCCCGAGAGCACCACUCUCAGGACUUAGCCAAAUUUUCACUUUUUUGGCUGGCUACACGCACAGGGACCGGUCUCUCCUCCAGGGACCCGACCCCAAGAGCUGGACUUUCAGAACUUAGCCGCGGGGCAAUUUUCCAACCUACGGGGACCGGUCUCUCCACCAGGGACCAGACCCCGAGAGCCCAAAAUCUGGGACUUAGCCAUUUUCACAGAUUUUGCUCUCUUGGGUCUUUUUACCUUGCACCAAGGUUCCAAUGCACUUAGAACCCAUUGUAACUUGCUCCAACUUGUCCGACUCCGCGUUCCGCUCGUUUCAACGAAACUCGGCAUGUUUCUCGGGGAUGCGAUACGUGACAUUCCCCACCCCUUAAAAAUUAUUUCGUUCGCGAAACUUAACUCAUACCUUAGCUCACUUGAUCAAACAAGUGAGGAUAGACCCCGCGCAUCUUCUUCUCGAGCUCCCACAUGGAUUUACGCCUCGAGUGAUUACUCCAUUACACUUUCACAUAUGGAAUGGUCCGAUUUCGUAGCUUCUGCUCCUCUCGAGCAAGUAUGCUCACAUGAAACUCUUCAUAAGUGACAUCCUCGUGCAACUCUACCGGCUCAUACUCCAACACAUGUGAGGAGUUACGAAAAUACUUCCGGAGAUUCGACACGUGAAAUACGAUGUGCACUCCCGCAAGCUUCGGCGGUAACGCUAACUUGUACGCUACCGGCCCAAUCCGCUCUAGAAUCUCAUACGGGCCAAUAUAUCGGGGACUAAGCUUCCCCCGAAUGCCAAACCGCUUCACCCCACGCAUUGGCGACACUUUGAGAAACACACGGUCGCCAACCGCGAAUUCCAAAUCCUUUCGGCACUUAUUCGCAUAGCUUCGUUGCCGCGAUUGUGCCGUCAAUAAUCGUUGGCGAGCAACACGGACUUUCUCCUCCGCCUCUCGCACUACAUCCGGACCAAAGGUGACUCUUUCACCCACUUCGCUCCAAUGAAUAGGAGAGCGACACCUACGCCUAUAAAGUGCCUCAAACGGCGCCAUCGCUAUACUUUCUUGAUAACUAUUAUUGUAAGCGAACUCCGCCAUCGGUAAAUACUCAUGCCACCCUCCCCUAUAAUCGAGUACACACGCUCGCAACAUAUCCUCGAGUACCUGAAUUGUCCUCUCUGACUGACCAUCACUCUGAGGAUGAAACGCUGUACUGAAGUUGAGCCGCGUGCCUAGAGCAUCAUGCAAGCUCUUUCAGAAAUGAGAAGUGAACCGGGGUUCUCGAUCUGAUACAAUCGACACGGGAACCCCAUGCAAUCUCACUAUCUCGUCCAAGUAGACUUAUGCUAACUUGUCUCCGGACCACGUGGUGUGGAUCGGCAAGAAAUGAGCCGACUUCGUCAAACGAUCCACAACCACCCAUAUGGCAUCAUGUCCAGCCUGCGAUAGGGGCAGACCGACCACAAAGUCCAUUGCUAUGUCCUCCCAUUUCCACACAGGGAGUCGUAAGCUCUGCAACUUUCCCGUGGAAAAUCGACGCUCGGCCUUCACUUGUUGGCACGUCAAGCACUGCGCCACAAACUCCCCAAUAUCUUUCUUCAUACCCGGCCACCAAUAAUGUAGUUUUAAGUCCUUGCACAUCUUAGUGCCGUCCGGGUGAAUACUAUAAGGGGGAUGAUGUGCCUCUUGCAAUACCGCCUUGCGGAUUUCAUCAUCCUUGGGUACGCACAAUCAGUUUCUGAACCGAAGUGCACCGUCGGAUCCCACGCCGAAGUCGCCGGUGCGUCCGCCGUCAAUGUCAUUCCGCACCUUUUGGAGAUAUGGAUCAUCAACUUGCCGCUCCUUAAUUCGUUCCAAUAAGGUCGGUCGAACCACUAGCGCCGCCAAGAUAGUCGGAACCUCCGGCGCCACCACUUCCAAUCCAAACCGUUGCAUUUCCUUUUGCAACAACGGUUGAUUAGCAAUUGCCGUCGCCAAGUUCUCAACAAAUUUUCUACUUAGCGUAUCGGCAAUGACAUUAGCUUUCCCCGGGUGGUAUAGGAUAGUAAGGUCAUAAUCCUUCAACAGCUCCAACCACCGCCGCUGCCGCAUGUUUAUCUCUUUCUGGGUGAACAAGUACUUAAGGCUCUUGUUGUAAGAAAGUGAAUUCUCGAAAACCGAGGAUUGUACUUCGCCCAGGAUCGACAAACUGUCGAGAGUGUACCCUUUGUGGGAGUUGGAGAUGUCCAAAACACAAAAAGUGCUUUGGAGUCGAGUCCGCGAGAGCAAAUAGGCAAAAUCUGGACUUAGCAGAUUUUUGCUCUCGGGAACCGGUCCCUGGAGGGAAGGACCGGUCCCCGUAGCUGAUGGUCGCUGGGGAGGUCGAUGCGACCGGUCCCUGGAUGAGGGGACCGGUCCCCGUGCGCGACACCCGCGGGAGAAAGCCAAAAUUUGGCUAAGUCCUGAAGGUUCCCCGUUCGGGAACCGGUCUCUUAGGAGAGACCGGUCUCCCAGGGACCGAUCCCUUAGGUGAGGACCGGUUCCCGAACGCGAAAAGUCCCCAGACUGCAGGGAGAGCUCUCGGGGACCGGUCUCCCCGACCAGGGACCGGUCCCUUUGGGCGAAAACUGCCCAGUGAGGGUUGUGCAAUGGGUGAAAAGUUGAAGGGUCUAAAUGCAAAAUGGCCUUUAUUAGAGUGGGCUGGGCCCUCUCUCUCCCUCACAUCCUCUCAUUUUCUCUCUUUCUCACACUCUCUCUUGCUCCCUCUCUCUCUCUCUAGGAAAGAAAGAACAAAAGAGAAGGGGAAGAAGAAAGAGAAGAAGAAGAAGGAGAAGAAGAAGAAGAAGAAGGAGGAGAACAAGAUAGAGAAGGCUUGGAGCAUCUUCCUCUCCUUCUCUCCUCUCUAUUGGUGUAGCUCAAGAGGUAAGAUAAAAACCCUAGCUUGUAAAACUUAGGGUUUUGGGUUUUUAUGCCUUAGAAUGGGUCAAAUGAACCCUAAGGAAGCUUCUAGAUAGAUCAAUCCCAAGAAUCUAGGGAUUUAGUGGGUGGUUUGCUAUAGGUGCAAACCUAGGGCUCCAAAAUGGGGUUUUUGUGAAAGUAUGAGGUUGAUCUCAUUUGAAGCCUUGGAAACCCUAUUGUUAGGUCACAAAACGCGGGGGCGAAGUCGAUUUUGACAUUCGGCGAACCGACGUGAAGUUCUCGGCAAAAUCGGGCCGGGCUAGUGUUGAUUCGGGCGAGGAAGACUAAAGCCUUUUCGUAAAGCUCGCCGAGAGAGAUUUCCGAAACCUCUUCAUCGAUUAAAGGUGGGGAGUGUCAUCCCGAAGCUUUCGAACUCCUUUCUAUGUCUUAGAUUGCAUUUAAUCUCAUCUCUUGCAUGUUACAUUGUAGGAUUGCAUAGUAGCUCCAUUCCUUAUGCUUUCUAAUUGAUAACCUAGUGUACUUAGAACGCUUGGUGACUUAGAUAGGUGAGGAUUGGGUCGGAACGUGGAUCCUAUGAUGCUAAAGAUAGAGAUGAACCCGAUGGGGGUGUGGAUGACAUAGAAAGUAGUGUUAUUGUUAAAGAACAAACGAGUGGCAUCCAAACAUUGAAUGAUGACGAGUGGCAUUAAUGUAGUGUAAAUGACACUAGAGGUCGAUGGACCUAGGGAUAGGCUGAUCCCUUAGAAAAUGCCUUGUGAACAAUGAAUUUAGAAAUGCUAAAUAGCAUUGCAUGAAUGUCGGGAACAAAUGAUUCCGCGAGAGAUGUUGACCCUAGUUGUAGGGCAUCCUCACAUGGAGAGGAUUUGAUUGGGUUGUGGACCCUAGUGAUAGUGCUCCCUCACUUGGAGAGGAUUCGAUUGGGUAUUGACCCUAGAUAUAGGGCAUCCUCACUUGGAGAGAAUAGAUCUGGCUCACAGUCUGCGUUUGGGAUAGUAUAGCCAUCCAAUCCCCACAUGGAGGGGAUUGUCGUCGAGUACUCCGGAGUGUCGUGCGACUAGAACCACUUGGAGGUCCGGACCACAUGGAGGUCCGCAGACGGUCCCGGGCUUGGGUGCACUUGGAGCUCCCUCCCCACUUUGGGAUUGAAAGGUGAGUCAUGGGCGAGCCCUAGGGCCUCGCCACAGAUUGGGUAAAUGGAAAGGUUAAAAGUUUAUUAAUGUCAUUGAACAUUGCUAUUCGAACAUGGAUCGAAUUUGUUAGCAUGAUAGCAAACCUUUAUUAUAUGAUGCAUGCAUUCAUAUUCAUGAUUAUGGGCAUAGUAGCAUAGCUUUCCUACUAUCGCAUUUACAGCUUUCAGAUACAUAUCUAUCUAUCUAUCUAUCUGUUGUUACUUGUGCCCACUUGGACCUAGUGGGGAGAUCGACAGAGUCGGCGGCCGAGCCCACUGGGAACUAUGGAAGAUAGUUCUCACCCCACUCUAUUUCCAGUGGUAGGUUCAGGGCUGCAGAGAGAGGACCGCGGCAAGGGCAUCGCGCCCAACCAGUGAGACCGUGGUAGUAUAGUAGC
rnacentral:lncRNA from 1 species